UUAAUUUUUCAUUUCAUUUUAAAUUUUUUAACCAUUAUUUAUUAAAUCACUCCAAAUACAUAAAAAAAAUAAAUGAAUAACUAAUAUUUGAGGGUUUAAUAAAUCAUUAUGUAUUUAAUUAAAGGAUAUCAAUUCAAUUGGAAUUUUAUUAAAAUAUUAUUUUAUAUGCAAAUUAAUUAAUACUAAUAUGAAAGUAUUUUUUAUUUUUCAUAUUUUUUAAUAAAAUAAUACUAUAAUAAAAUUUAAAUUUGAACAUAUGCAUAUCCAACACUUUUAACUUUAUCAUUUUAACUAUAAUUUUUAUAUCAAUAACUUUGUCAAUCACCUCUCGUUGGUGGUUGGUCAUUUUUCAUCCUCUUCCUUAGUUAUUUUUUUGCCCUCCUCUCAUUUUAGUAACUCCUUUUGGGGGCUCGUCUAAGCUUUAAUGCCUCGUCUCUAUUUCGGUGUGGGAUUUCUGGAUGCAGAUGUCCUCCGCUUUAGGUGAGAGUUUCUGCUGCAGCUACGAAUGAUGGAUGGGUGGUGGCACUAAAAACCCCAGAUGCUACUUUGUUGUUUUGUCUCCAGAUUCAAGAUGUUUGUUGCUUCAAUCCUAUUUGGUGGGUGAUCCGAGUUGGGUGUUGCUAGUGGCUAUUUUCGAUCUUUUCGAGGUGGUUGUGUGGUGUCUCUCGACUGGCAAUUGAGGAUGUUUGGCUUAGUCUUGUGCUCCAUUGUUUUCUCACUCACUUGUGAGCAAGGUCUUUAGUGAAAAUGGAGGCUCGAUAAUCGAGAAUAUACGCACUAAUUUUUUCAUUAGUGGCUGACACCAAAGUAACUAGUGAUGAUUCCUUUUUUUCUUUUUUCUUUUUUUGCUUUUAUGGGGUUUGACCGUUUAUGUUUGGGAUCAUGGUUAUUGGUACAAUUGGCUUUGGCUAUAUGCCAUGGUUGCUCUGUCUGUGAUGAUUGUUGUUCUAUGAAAUGGAACUUCUUGUUGUAUUCUAAUUUUGAUCUUAAUUAUAAAUAUUCAAAGAAAUAAAUAUAUUAAUUUAUUUUUAUAUUAAAUAACAAUAAUAAUAUGUAAAUAUAAAACGAUUAUAUUAAUAGCUUAUAACAAUAAUAUCAAACUAAAAUUUUAUAUAUAAAAUUUCAUAAAAUUAAAAUUAAUGUAUAAAAUUACAUAUUAUAUUAAAAUUUAUAUAUAAUUUAAGUUCCGUAAAAUAAUUUUGGAUAAAAAUUUUAAAAUUGUAUUGCCCAAAACUUUCAAAUUCAAACAAUUAAAUUUAGUGGCAAAUUGCCCAUCUUGUAACAAUUUUCUUUUUAAAUGAAAGAACAGCUCAAAGUUGAGAAGGAAAAGCAAACUCUCUGAACUCCAAAUAACAAAACUAAACGCAGGAAAAUCGUUACAACUUAAAAACUGAAAAAUUAAUAAUUCAUAUUUGAAUGAGGGUUGUCGAUGGAUGCUGCUUAAUUCUCGGCAACGUCAGCUCUUGCAUGCUCGAAAUUGUAACUUGCUACAGCCGUAAGCCACGCUCCCUUCUCCACCAUUUCCACUUUCCCUCUUUCUUUCUUCUUUUUCUCAUUUCGUUCUUUUCCCUCUCUAUAUCGUAUCAAAAAAAAAAUCUUAAUCGUCAAUAAUUGUCAGCUCAGGAGCUCAAACCACUGAUUUCACAAAGGAGGUUGAUUACCAGGUAUCAUCAUUUUCUUUUAAGUUUCGCUUAUAUUUUAAAUUCUGUUAUCGAUAAGCCGUUGUUCGAAAACGUCGCUGGUUAUUUAUUGUUUUAUGUUUGAUUUUUUUUAGGUUUGUCGUACAGCGACGGUCUUGAAAUGUGAUUUUGAGCUCUCUUUUUUUUCUUUCCUUUUUUCUUUUUUCGAGUUAGAGAUAGGUUUGCUUAUAUUCUUCCUUUGGAUCAACGGUCUGGAAUUUGUAGAAGAGGAAGGUAUUUGUUAUGAUUAGAUUUCUAACUAAAUUUUGGCAUUGGAUGGAAACUGAUAUUUUGUGAAUAAUUUGUACGUAAUUUUUGUGAAAAGGAUCUGCGAAUUUGCGGUGUUCUUUUUGUCACGGAUACAUAUGUGUUGGAUUUGGUUGAGAAAUUGGGUUGCAAGUUGAAGAUAGAUGUUGGGGAUUUGUGAAAGUAUUGCUGUCAAUUUUGAAGUUUAGCGUUUGAGGUGUAGGGAAUCCUAGAUUUUAACCGUGAGGUUCUGAAUGCUAGCUGAUACGAUGAAUGACUUAAUUAUGCAUUAUUGAUUGGUGGAUUGAAGUGAAAAAGAGUGGUCCAAGGAGCUAACACAUUGUUGUUAUGUAAGUAAACAAACCUAGGAACUUGUUUGGAACAUGAUCAGGGAAACGUCUGGCCCAUCUGAUCAAUUAGUACAACAAGAAUAUACAUAUGCUGUUCCUAAUGUUGGAAAGAAUGUAAAUAAUAAUAAGACUAUAUCUGUACAGACAGGUGAGGAAUUCUCCAUGGAGUUUGUUCAGGAGUGUGUUGGCACAAGAGCCAUUGCUAGACCAGAUGCAGCACUGACACAUGAGAAGAGGGUUUGGUUCAAUCAGAACCGCCAGAUGGGGUAUCAGGAUCUUGCCCGAAUUCAGUUGAAAAGAACGGAUUCCAAGUGUGCUUCUGACAUUUCUGAUUUUGCAUCUCUGAAUGGUUCUUCUAGAGGGAGUGAACAUGGGUCUUGUGUUGAAAAGAUAGGUAGAUACCAGAAGAAAGAUGGUGAAAUUGGACAAGUGACAGGGAAGGCUUAUGGUGAACUGAAUUGUGAUAGGAGCCAUCCAAAUGGUUUUGGACCACCUACUACAGCCAUUUAUGCAUGUGACUCUUCUAGUUCCGACAACUUUAGUGGGCAGGGAGCUACUGAUGGAUCUCAAUCUGGGAAAAUGAAACUUCUGUGCAGCUUUGGUGGAAAAAUAUUGCCUAGGCCAAGUGAUGGUAAACUCAGAUAUGUUGGGGGAGAGACGCACAUUAUUUCCAUUCAGGAUUGUCUUUCUUGGGAAGAGCUUCUGAGGAGAACUUCAAAUUUUUGCAACCAACCUCAUUCAAUCAAGUACCAACUUCCAGGUGAGGAUCUUGAUGCCCUUAUAUCUGUUUCUUCUGAUGAAGACCUUAAGAAUAUGAUAGAGGAAUACCAUGGGCUUGAAAAGCUUAAAGGUUCUAAAAAGCUGAGGAUAUUUUUGAUUCCCUAUGAUGAAUCUGGAAAUGCAUCUUCCCUUGAGGCAAUGACCAUGCACCAGAGCAAUCCUGAUUACCAGUAUGUGGCUGCUGUUAAUGGGACAGUAGAUCCUAGUCCUAGGAAAAUCUCUGGUGAGCUCUGCUUACCUAGUGAAGGAUGUCAAUUGGGACCCAAUUUGAAUCCUAACCCUAGUUUCCCCAAAUGGUGUCCAACUUCAGUAAUGUCUUUGGACACUAUGGGUGGUUUUAAUGCAUUGCAUCCAUCUCAGGUUUUCCUUGAUAUCCAAAAUACAACCAGAUCCCCAUCUACUCCUAUUUCUCCACUACCUUUCCAGCAUGAAGAAUGCAAUGUUUGUGCACAGUCAAUGUCUAAUAACUCCAGCUCUGAAUACAACUAUUCCUUCAAUACAGCACACUUGAAUCCUGAGAUCCGCAGCACUAUUAAUCCUAACUAUAAAGAUGCCCUACAGGUUCCACCUGCUUUGAUGAAUCAUAGUCACCCUUGCAUAAGGGUUGCUGCCAACCACACAUGCCAAGCUUAUGGAGGGCAGCUACUAAGCCCUGAUCCCAGCAAAGAUUCCGUAUUUUUUGUAGUUUUCAACAAAAGCAAUGGUGAUUACAAUGGCAUUUCACAUGAAAGGUUUAUGCACAAAGAAAGAUCAUUCCUUUCUGAAAAGCCCAUCUCAAAUGCUGGCAAUCCAUUAAGCCUGUUGUCAGGAUCUGUUGAUUCCCUGGAUUCUCACCCAGGUAUAUCACAUGCAUUUUCAGAUUCAAAGCUGCAGGACUGUGGAGGGAGGUCUGCUUACUGUUCACAAGAAGGAAUGAGCCCAUCUUCCCCUUUAAAUUUUGCAAAGAGCCCAUCACCUUCCCUUGUUUUUUCAAAUUCCAUGCAGGAAAGGUUGAUGCAACAGCAUGAUAAAAUUGAUCUUAUGACGUCCAGUGCAGAUAAUUACUUGUUGGACACUGAAUCUACGUCAAAAUCAAAACUGGAUAUGCAGAACUGCUUUCCAAACCCUGAACCUUCUGGCGUGAAUGAACCUAUUCACAAGGGAACCAGUGACUGUAAUGAAAAAUACCAAACAGCUAAAAUUGAUUUGAGUAAAUCCAGUUUUGUGAGGCUUGACAAUUAUGAAGAAUAUACUGCAAGCUUGGAUGCCAGGAACAUGUCUUAUAUAAGUGAUCCAUUUUUGCAUCAAGGUGGAAAACUUUAUGAGGGGAAAUCACCUGAUAGCAGUAUGGGAUAUAACAACAAAUUGUCUAAUGCAGACUGCAACCAAACAUCUGGUUUUGCUGUAGGUACUCAGGAAAAAGAUUCGCAAGUCUCUCAGAAGAUGGUUCCUUCAUCCUUAUCUAUAAAUAGUAACAUCAAACAUCUGCAAACCUUGGGAAAAACCACAUCUGAUAUAGCUGAAUCUUGUGGUUUCAAUGGGAAAGUAAUUGGACAGGGAGAUAUUACUUCAUGUGCCAGGAACACUGAAGCCACAUGCUUGUUUCCAAAGAGCAUAAAUGACACAAGACUUGAUAGUAAAUUGGGUGAUCUUAUCUCUGAGUCUUUGAAUGGCCCUAUGUUGCAUGAACCACCACAAUCUCAGUUUGUUGCAAGUCAAAAUGAUAUAUCUAAAGAAGAUAUGCUUAUGGGCUCAACGAAGUUGCACUCACCUACAAUUCAUGUUGACUCUGUUCUGUGCUCAAGCUUGCUCAAUGAAGACCUUCAUGCUAUGUCACAAAUUUCAGACAAUAAUGCAGCUAGGAAAGAGGUUCCCCUCAUUGAUGAUGAACUUAAUUAUUCCAAUCCAAAUGCUGAGAAGGUGGUCCUCCUAGAUCCCUUGCACAAGAAUUCAAUUGUAGAAGAUAUUACGUUUUCUCUAACUGAACCUUCAAGAAAGAAUCAAUAUCAAAUCCAACCGGAGCCCAUAGUUAUGUCAAAAGAUGUUACCACUAGUGUUCUUUCCGGGAUGCUAGUUUCAUCUGCAGUUGUCCCACAUGUGGAUGUGAUCAGCACUGAUAUCAUAUCUCCUACUGGAACAGAGUUGGAGGAUGCCAUUGCAGAUUCUGAGUCUAAGGUAAGAUUUGUUAAAUUUAUCAUGUAAAUCUAGUUUUUAUAAUGUGUACCACUGCUAGUAGACUCAGGUAGCUUCAUGGCUUUGUUCAUAGGAUUCUUCAGCUGAUGUUCAAGACAAGGAUGAGUCCUUCAGUGAUGCUGUCAUAGCUGAAAAGGAAGCCAACAUCUAUGGCUUGCAGGUUCUGCAUGAAACUUAUUUAUACCUGUUUUCAGUUUAAAAAGUUGAUAUUUGACCAGUUCAUUCAGUGUUGUUUAGUGAGAAGUGUAAUAAAAUUUUGAAAAGCAAGUGUAAUUCUCUAGUUGUUAGGCGGAAAAAACAUUUUGUUUUUCUUAAUAAGGUUCCAUUUAGUUAAUCUACAUUGAAAUCUUUACAAAAAUUAAUAUCCUUCAUUUGGUAGAACAUUGAAACAAAAUUGGGGAAUUGACAAAAGAACAUUACACAUGAAAUGAAAAUUAGAAAAAAUCAAGGGUAUGCUAAUGUUUUUCUUCUUGGAAAUAUGAUUUAAAACCAUUUCUUUUUCAAACUGGCUAUUGUGCCUAUUUAGUUCUAUUUUAAAAACUGCAUGUUACUCUUUUUUACUAUUCUCCUCUUUUAGAUUCAGAUAUGUAGCAGUUUGACAACAUUUAUUCAAAUAAUAAAAUUAUUUGUUAUCCACCCACAUACUGUGUGGAGGACUAAUUCUAAUCAUGUGUUGCUUAUGGCAUCUUCUUUACUGCACACAUGAAAGAGAUUCUACUUAAUUUAUGCAUCCGUUUAUAAUUUGAUCAUGUUUGUGUAGUUUUCCCUCUUCCUUUUUAUCUUUUCUCCAUCUCCUUACCUUGCCAUGACUUUUCAGUUCUUGUCUAUUUUCUAACUGUCUUUGUAAUUAGCCCUAACAACUGUCUUUUGUCCCUCUGAAAACCAAGAAUAUUGCUAUUAAUCUACUUUUAAUAUGGUUACCAGACUGAUGGUUAAUUGAUAGAAAAUUUGAUUCUAUGUCAACUUCUAGUCAUAUUUCCCUUGUAACCAGUAACUUUUUGGACUAAAUUACCACACCUGUAUCAGCCCCCUCCCCAUUUUAGUUUCCUCCUUGAAAGAUUAGCUUUUGAACGUUAAUGAAGGUUUUCUAAUUUUGAUGUGCAGAUUAUUAAAAAUGCCGAUCUUGAAGAACUGAGGGAGCUAGGAUCUGGUACAUAUGGAUCUGUUUACCAUGGAAAAUGGCGGGGAACAGAUGUUGCUAUAAAGAGAAUAAAAAAGAGUUGCUUUUCUGGGAAAUCAUCAGACCAGGACAAGCUGGUAGGUCUGCGGAGAUUUUUCCCUCUUUUUCCGCCCCUUUCUUUCCAGUUUCUAAUCCUAAAUAUAGUUGCUGGCUAGGUGGUAUGAAUUGUACACUGCAUUCCAGAAACAAGGAAAAGGUUUCAAAAUACUAUUAUUGUUAUGUCAUGGAAGUAAAUUCAUGGGGGUACCCUUUCUCUUCUUCCUUUUCGGCCUUCUUCUUGACUCCUUUUAAAGGGAAAUAUAUCCACUACUGUUAUUCUGCCCUUUGUGAUUUGAGAUUUGGUAAUCUGUUUUUUCUGUUUAUGGAGGGAUUUCAGCCCUCGAGUUAAAAGUAAUUUGCAGCAGCUUUGACAUGCAUCAAAAUCACAUAUGUUUAUCAAGGAAGAGUGUUGAUAUUUAUCACAAACGCAUGUUUUUAUAAAGAAAAAUUAGUCUGUGGGUUGCCAUAGUUGAUUCAAAAUUUGAGUAGAGGUCUUCAAAAGAAGAAAAGAAAAAGGGUUUUCCUUUUCUUUUUUCUUUUAAUCCUUUAAGAGUGGGGUUUGGUGCUUGAGUCAAUUGAAGUAAAUGUGAAAGAAAUAGCUGAGAAUUAUCCAAGACGCUCCACUUCGGUGGUCAUUUUGAACUGGGUCAUUAUUUCCCUGCUUUGCUUCUUUUUCUUUAAUCUUGAAAUAGCAAGCAAAAGGGGGGAUUACCACUGUAGUACUAUAGAGAUCUUUAAACAGUUUUGCAGUCAAAUUCUUCAUAGCAAUUUCAGUUAUUUGCAUGCCUGAAGCUAAUAUAUAUUUGGUUGUGCCAGACAAAAGACUUCUGGAGAGAAGCACAGAUCCUCUCAAAUCUGCUUCAUCCAAAUGUGGUAGCAUUUUAUGGAGUAGUACCAGAUGGAACUGGAGGAACUUUGGCAACUGUAACUGAAUUUAUGGUCAACGGAUCACUUAGAAAUGUCCUAAUCAAGAAGGAUGGGUAACCUAGGUUCAUCCUCUCAAAUUUAUAGUCCUUCCCUCAUUAAUGAUGUGCUUACUGGUUGUUUGGAAUUCUUAUGCAGAUCGCUUGAUUGUUGCAAAAAGCUUAUAAUCGCCAGGGAUGCAGCUUUUGGCAUGGAAUACUUGCACUCCAAAAACAUUGUCCAUUUUGAUCUGAAAUGUGAUAAUUUGCUUGUGAAUCUAAGGGACCCACAACGACCCAUAUGCAAGGUAAUAUUUACAAACUUGUCUCUAGUAGAUAUUGAGUUCAAGGUGGCUAACGUUAUUACUAAAGACCAUAAAUGGCUAGAGAGAAGAAUAAUUAAUUCUGAUUGAAGUGAAAGUGAUUGUUUUUGGUCCAAGAUGAAUGCCGAUAUGCUUGGGGACAGUAGCAUACCCUUAUCUUGUCAAGUUAGGAAGCUUGGUGAUGGGAGGUUUUCAUUGGCUGUUCAUUUGAAACAUGGUUACUGUGUAUUGUUUCUGUAGGUUGGAGAUUUUGGAUUAUCAAGAAUUAAGCGCAGCACUCUUGUUUCUGGAGGUGUGCGAGGAACCCUUCCAUGGAUGGCACCAGAGUUAUUAAAUGGUAACAGCAAUCGUGUUUCUGAGAAGGUCAGUGUGUGCUGCCACUGUGAAGGAAAGAACAAGCAUGUUAAAUGCCGAAAUUUAUGAUAUUUGAUUUGGCAGGUUGAUGUGUUCUCAUUUGGAAUUUCAAUGUGGGAAAUCUUGACUGAAGAGGAGCCUUAUGCUGAUAUGCAUUGUGGUGCCAUUAUUGGUAAGAUUUCAGUUUACCUAAUUUGCCAUUAGCUACGAUUUUAAGCAGAAAUUUUACAGGCAUGGAAAAAGUAAUUGGGAUGUUAUGACAUGGUAUUAGAUCCACUAUGGAGUGCAUAUUUUAGCUAAAAUGGUGUAUUGAAUUUUUGCCAUAUGUAUCUGAAAACUAAAGAAAAAGCUUCCUUUUUUCACUUAAAUUUGGCUUUACAUUCCAUUUGUAAAAUGUGAUUGCAGGGGGGAUUGUGAAGAACACUCUUCGACCUUCAAUUCCAGAACACUGUGACCCUGAUUGGAGGGAGCUGAUGGAACAGUGCUGGUCAGCUGAUCCUGAAUCUAGACCAUCAUUCACGGAGAUAACGAACAGGCUGCGAUCAAUGUCUAGGUUGCUUCAGCUCAAGGGACGUAAUGAUCAGGCAAGACAGACAAAAGCCUAAUGUUACAGCAUGAACAUGAUUAAACACCAAGCACCGGCUUGGUUUGUAUCAUCAUUAAAUGCCAAGCACCGGUUUUGUUUGUAUCUUCACCUGUAAACUUGGGUAACUCCGACCCCACCCUUCGAGGUAAGAGGAUUAAAUCAUUGAGGAUUAGGAUGAGGAUGAGUAGAGUUUAAUCAAUGAUGGGCAGAACUUCUUUCCCCUUCUCUCACUUCUGUUAAUAUAUAGCUCCAUUUGAUUAUUCGUUUUUUCUGACACAGUAAUUCAGGUCAUAGUGGUAAGGCAGAGAGAUAGCAUUUAAAAUAUUUUGAUGAUUGUUGAAAAUAGAAAGAUUAUAUGUAUGUACACACAUUCAGAAAAGGGGGAAAUGGCAUUUGAUUAGAGUUCAAUUUGAUAUAUCUAGACCUCAUAAUUUUACAUGGGAAAUAAUGACAAAUAUAUAUAUUCUUUAUAUGUGUUAAAUUUACAUAUAUGAUAAUAAUAUGCAGAAGUAGUGAAAUCUAGAUCUGUCUUACAAAAUUUACCAUAUCUCCAUUCAUUUUAUUAAUGAUAAUUCUAUUUGAAAGAGCUAAAUUAAAAGAGAAGGUAGUUUCCAUUUGUUCCGACUAUCAAUUGAGGAAAAAAUGUCAUUUUCAUAUUCUUUUUAUGAUUUAAUUUUAAAUUUCAGUCGCAUAUAAAUGUCAUUAUUUAUUUAUAUAAAUGAUUAAAUCGUUGAUAAAUGAUAAAUUUUAAUAAUGUUAGUUGAUCGGAUUAAUUUAUCGGUUUAGUUAAAAUAUGAAAAUUAAAUUAAGAAAUCUAACUUCAAAAAAAAUAGAGGAAUUCAUAAUUAAAGCUUUAUCUGCCUACGUCCUCGUAAUGCUUAUGGUGUCAAAAAAAUCUUUGACCUGUUGACGGUCAAUUCAAAAUUCAACGGAAAGACUUCUGGCGGCUUUUUGCUUUCUAGCUUUUUAUUAUUAUAAUAAAAUCAAAUAAAAGUAAAAUCACUAAGGGUCUGUUUGAUUGCAAGUAAAAUGUUUUCCGUAAAAUGAUUUCUGGAAAAUGUUUUACUUUUCUGUAAAAUGAUUUACUGAAAAAUAUUUUCUGGUGUUUGAUUGAAUCUGUGUAAAAUAUUUUCUGUUGUUUGGCAGAUUUCCUGAAAAUAUUUUCUGGAAAAGUUGUUUUUACAUAUAUUAAUAUAUAUUAAUAAAUUUUUAUAUCAAGCUAAUUAUAAUUGCAUUAAUAAUUUUUUGAGAAAUUAAACUACUUUCUGUGUCCAAUACUUCAACAAAUAUUAAUAUAUUUAUAAUUGGACGAAAAAAGAAUCACAUUAUAAGUUAUAAUUGGAAGAAAAAAGAAUAAUCGGAUAUUAAUGUUCUAAAAAAACUAAAGGAAUCACAUUAUAAGUUAUAAUUUUCAAUAUCAAAAUUUAUAGAGACCAAUUUAAAAUCUAGAUUAUAGAGACCAAUUUAAUAUCUAGAUUAUAGUUUGAGGAUGUACUAAUUGGAUUUUUCGUAAAAGAUUUUGAUAUCGAUUACUUGUAAAUAAAGAAAAACGAAUAAAUUCACAAAAAAAAGAUAGAAGAAAUAAUUAACAUUUAUGAGAUAGCAAUUAUUAUCAAAGAAGAUUGACUGUUAAAUCAUAAGAGUUGAAUUCUGUUAUGAUUUGCUAUAAAAGUAUAAUGUUCUAUACAUAUUUGAUGCAUUUUGUAUCACAUGAGUUGCUGAAAAAAUUUUCAUUUCUCAAGAUUUGACAUAAUAAUCAAUGCCAUUAACAUUGAAACCGGAAUCUAGAAUUUUAAACUUCUAAAAUUAACCCUAAACGAAAAUGUAUCCCAUAAGAAACAACACAAGCUUCAUAUAUAUAUAUAUGAAAAAACUCAAAGAAUAGACCAAAGUAAUGAACAAGGCUGAGAAGAGGCUCAAACUGUUGAGGAAGAAGCUUUAGUCCCUCAAGUUAGUGCCUAGUUUGGAAGAUUCAAAGCACUCUGCGGCAGUUUCUUAUAUUUCAUCCACAAGCAGUUCAGGUACCAAAAACCCAGAAAGAACAGCUUCCAAGUCUCAAAAUGCAGUUCCAAGAAUUUCAAAAAAUAUGGAGGAAAAUGCAUCAGACACCACUACAUCUAUACCAAGCUUUAAAAUCUCUUUCAACAGAGAAAAUUGUUUUUCUUCAUGUGAAAACUCCAGUUCUAAAUCGAGUCCAUAAAGAUCCAAAAGUUGAUGACACAAGGACAAGGUAAUAGAACACAAAGUGACAGAAUUUCUCUCGCGCAUUGAAACAUAAAUGGGGGAAUGCAGGUAAUAGAGCUAUGAUGCAGUAAAAUCCUUAUUAAAAAUUAAAAGUCUAAUAAUUCCAUGGGAACCUUACCAAAUACAGAUUUUAGAUUUCAACAUAUACAGAUUUCAGAAGCUCACUCUUCAGCAAAUAAAUCAUAUAGGACUUUAAUUAAGGACUUCAUAUAGGACUUCAGCAAAUGAAAAAUUUAUGAAAAAAUUAAGUAAUUAAAUGUAAUUAAUUACUAUUAAUAUGUUUUUCCACUCAGAAAACAUAUGUUUGAUAAUUAAAGAACAUAAUGAAAAAAAUAGAAUACGGACAAUGGUUUUGUGAUUCAACCUUGAGAACUUCCAAGUUUGGGCAACUUUGUAUUAACAAGCAGUGAUCUUCUGUGUCAAGUAAUGCAUAAAGGAGAUCCAAUUCUUUAAACAACGGUGCAAAAGGAAACACAAUUGGCAUUUCAUUCUUCCCCAUGUAGGUUAAAACCAAACGACAUAACCUCGAGGGGAAUGUUACAGCAGCAUACCCAUCAAGUUGGUUGUAGAAAGAACCACCGUUGAAUUCUUCUAAAACAGCAGCAGCAUGAAAGAAACCGACGAGAUCUAAAAUUUCACAAUCACUAAUUUUCACAAAGACCAAAUUACGACAAUUUCUGGCAAUAAGUUGGAGAUCUUCAAAACCAACUUUUACAUGAUCCGUCAUGUAAAAGUUUAAAGUCUCAAGAACUGAAUUAUUCAUCGCAAUCUCAUGAAUCCAUCGACCAUAUUUCUCAAUAAUUGAGCUGUCUUCCAAGAACAAGGUUCUUAAUUGCCUACACCAACAUGUAAAGAAAUAAAUCAUAUGAAAGAACCAAGGUAGUUUGUCUGUCAGAUUCUACUCCUACUGAUGUUUAUGAGGCUAUGACUCAUUUUCAUUUGCAAGGUGUUGUUUACAAUGAGUUGCAGGCUUUUAUCAACAAAAACCCUUGGAGUUUAUGUCCUCUUAUUGCAGCACAUGGUCUAUAGGACUGCCAGUAUCAAAGGAAGCCAUUUUCUCUAGCAUCAAAUACUAACAAAUUUAACUUCUAACUAGAUAAGUAAUAAACUGCGACCAACGACAAAACUAUGGAUUAAACUACAUUUGACUACAUUUGAUGCUGUUAGAACAUCAAAAGCAUGUAUUAAAAUCUAAGCUGCGACCAACGAUACAGUGGUAACUACAGAAGACUGUAGGCACAGAUCAGUGAGAGCAGAGGUGACAUUCAGCAUAAACAGGGGCCAAAAUCUUUCUAACUAUGGACAAGAAACCGAUUCACAAAACUAUGGACAAGAAACCAAUAACAUAAAGGAACUAACCCAGAAACCGAUUCACAAAACUAUGGACAAGAAAAUAUACCUUUCUAAAGCAAGUCUGCGAAGAAAGUCUGCCCAAGACAAGCCAAACACCACAGCCAAACUAGCAGAAAACCCAAGCAAGAGAUCUCAGACAAAAACAAGCAGAAAAUCCUCAAAUUAAUUUAUAAAAGGAAGAAGAAAUCAAGGGGGGAAAAGGAGCCCGAAACCAGAUCAAGGGAGAACGAAAGGGAGAAGGGAGAACGAAACCAGAUCGGUGUAGAGAGGAGAAGGGAGAAUGAAAGGGAGAACGAGGGUGUAGAGAAGGGAGAACGCCGGAAAUUCCAGAAAAUGUCUUACUGAUUCCAAAUCGGUAAGACGUUUUCCAUAAAUUGGGGCCUUUUUUACCCGUGUUUGUAAAACAUUUUCCCUUAGGAUUUCAUUUUACACCAAUCAAACACUGGAAAAUCCGUAAAAUAUUUUCCGGAAAAUAUUUUCCACCAAUCAAACAGAGCUAAGUAAACAACACGAAUUAUGAAAAUAAAAGUAAAGUCACUAAUUAAUCCUGCAUGGCCUAAUAGUUAAAAGAGUUCUUCACUUUAGAUGUGGCCUAAAUUUGAAUACAAUCGAAUUGAAUUAUUUAUUUGAGUUAAAUUUAAAAAAUGACUUUGGAUCAUUGUAACAACUGUCAUUCACCGUAAUCAAAUUUGUUAUUAACUUUCAUCUCUUCAUAACUUAUUUAUUAAUCUUUUAUAUACGGGUUAGCUUCUUUGCUUGCUUAAUUGCUUCAAUUAUCUUCUGAUUCUUGUCAUUAUGUAUUUUGAAAUUAAAAAAUAUAUUAGAUGUAAAAAAGUGAUUUUUAAUAAAAAUUAUUUUAAAGAUAAAAUGUGAAAUCGAUACUAAUAUAAAAUUUUAACACGAAUAUUUUAUGGCAUCAUCAAUAAUUCAAUUUUAACAUAAAUUUAUAAAGAUUCAAUUUGCUUAAAUAAUUCAAUAAUAUAAAUAGUACAAAAUGUGUAAUUUAAUUUAAUAAUAUAGAUGUAGAUAUAAAUAAAAUUAUUACUAUUUAGGUUUAGGGAUUUUUUUUGGAUAAUUUUAAUUUUUUAUUUAGGGUUAAGGAUGAAAAGUAAAAGUUUAGAGAAAAAAUUUAAAAGUUUUGGAGAGUAAAUUUUGGAGAGAAAGUAAAUGGGAGAGUAAAAUUUGGGGAGGGGGGAUAUUCAAAAAAAAUCUAAAGGAAAAAUGGGUUUGAGGUAGACGGGAAUGGGAUGGGAGGAGAGUAAAAGUAUUGGGAGAAAGUACAAAAGUUUGGGAGUUUGGGGUAAAUUUUAAAAUAUAAUAGUUUGGUAUUCGAUUUAUUUGAAUUAUUCAAAUCCAAAAACUCAACUCGAUUCGAACUCGAAAUUCGAAAAAAAUCGAAUUAACUCGAAUAACUCAAUUCGUUUAAUGCCUCAUUAAAAAUAUUACCAAGAAAAUUCAAUGAGAAAAAACCUUAGUUAAGAAAAAUAUGAUACAACGCAUAUUUACUCCCCUCAUGACAACAUUACAUGAAAUCUCAUAUUUUACGUAUUCAAUCUUAAAUACUAGUUUUUCAAAUGAUAACUUGAACAAUUUGCUAAACAUUUAUAUCAUCAUUCUUCUGAAUGCCAUUAGCGAGGAAGAAUUUUGGGAAAAUAUAUUUUGAUCUAUUCGGGAGUUUGAAUAAUAAUCAUAACAAAGUUUGGUUAUGAUCUUUUUAUUCAUGUGCAUGUUGGAUCAUCUUAUAAUCUUUCUUUAACUAUUAUUCAUCGAGUUGAAUUUACCACAUAUGUUUAAGUCAAUUAUUUCAUAUAAAUAUUUACUCAAAUGUAUCGAAUAAUAUCUUGAGAAUUUUUAUACGCUUACAACAUUCUAAAUCCUUCAAGGAUUUUAAUAUAAAUUUCUACUAGAUAGUGAUUCAUAUAAAGAUUGUAACAACAAUCAUUAGACGCAUAUCAAAUUUUCAUAAGCUGUCAAACUAAUGAGAUAUCUAAAUGUUAUUGCAUCUACCACAAAAGAAUAUAUUUUCAUAAUUAUUGCUAAGGCUUUAGAGAUAACUUCAUUUUCUUAUUUCAUUUUCACAAAACAACUCAUUUGUACUCCACUGACCUUAAACCUUUAGAUGCUUGGACUACUGGUCCAGAAACUUCACAAAUUUAAUUCUACUUAAAUUGCGUCUUUCUAUUUUAGCCAAUCUAUUUCAUGUCUAUGUUUUUUGAUAAAUUUAUUCAAGAUCCUCCUUUUGCUUCAUUAUCUCAAUAAUACUAUUGCAUGAAAAAUAUUGUCAACAACUUUCUAUUUUCACGGUUCCAUAUUUUCUCUUAUUGACUAUCGAGAUUUCUUUAUUUUCAUUAUUUCCAUCGUCAAUUUCAGGUAUUUGACUCUCUUUUGGAGUUGUAAUAAUUAGUUAUGUCUUAAGGCUCUUCUGGAACACCCACCUCCACCAUCUGACAUAUAUAUUAAUUAUUUUCUUUUACGAGAAUUUUCAUCUUCGGUACCAAUCGACUUGUCAUGCUUUAGGCAUGCAUUACUUUAAUUUAUUCUAACAAGUUGUCCUACUAGGACUUCAAUUCAAAUCAAAACAUUAACUGGUAUAUAACACUUGAUUAUUCUCAUCAGGUUAGUAAAUAUAUUUGGUAGUUAACUUGUAAUAAAAUGAAUUAUCUUUUUGAACUUUUGGUUCAAAUAACUUUCUACGAUGAUCAAGAUAAUGCUAAUUUAUUUCAAGUAAUUUAUUUAUCCAACUAUUGUUUUUCUCCCCUAAUGUUGGGAAAACUAUCAAAGCAAAUAGUAAUCACAAAUCAUGUCAAAAUUGAAUCUCCAAAUCAUUUAAAACAUCUUAUAAUACGAGACUCAUAAUUAGUAUAUAUUAUCAACUUUAUUUGAAUACUCAUUUCGUGCUUUGUGGUGGAGCAACUUGAACAUUUAUUGCACAUUCAAAACUUCUAAAAUGGGUUGUAUUUGACUCCUGACCAAAAGUCAAUUGUAAUAGGGAGUGUAUAUCAUAACUUAUUGGCAUGAUACGUACAAGUGUCUAUUCAUAUAAAAUAUCAUAUCCUAUACAUAUAUACAAAAAAUUUUCUUCAAAAGAUAUGGUUUAGCUACUAAUUGGUAAGUGGUCAAAUUAUAAUUCCAACACUAAGUAAAUAUCCAAUAGGUUAAAUUUACUUAGUGAAAUCGUUGUACCUUAAUUUAUAGAGUUAUCAUUGAAAUAGAUUUUUGAGAAUUGUGAAAUCAAUUAGUAAAUAUGUCAUCAAUAAUAUAUUAUUGUCUUGAAUUGUUUGAAAAGGCAAAUUGUAAUAAAUGAUGUGAUAGUUAAAUUUGAUUAUGGAGUGUAGCACCCUGUAACCCGGAUCCGGCGAUUGGGUUGGGUAUGAGGUGUUACAAGAGACGUGGUGGAACCACAAUUGGGACUUGGGAGGAAUUCCAAAAAGAAUUCAAGGCACAGUUUUACCCAGAUUAUACCGAGUAUGAGGCUUGAGCAAAGUUACACCGGUUUACGCAACGAGGCACAGUUAGGGAGUAUGUGCGGGAGUUAAGUGAAGCCAUGCUCCAAAUUUCUUAUUUGAAAGAGAAUGAGGUGUUUUUUUUCUUUUUGGAUGGGUUGAAGCCAUGGGUGAAGCAAAAGUUGUAACGCCGAUGAGUCCAAGAACUUACCAAAGCCAUGACGAUAAUAGAGUCCUUAAUUGAACUUGUUCCGAGGAAAGAUAAGUUUGAGUCUUCCAAGGCCAAUGGGAAGGGUGAUGGUAGGGAAGAUGAAGAAGGACAUGGCGAGUAUGACAAUGGUAAUAGGUAACGAUGGCAAUGGGAAACAAUGAAACGAGAAGUGGAAAACCAACAACAACCUAAAUGAGAAAGGUAGCGAGAUAAAAUGUUUCUUUUGUGACGGCCCGUAAACAAGAAAGGACUGUCUGAAGAGGUAUGUGCUUUUAGUCAUCAAAGGGGAUGAUGAGCCAUAAAAAGCACCUAUAAGUCUUAGUUCGGUCUUGCGUGGUGUCAAAGCCAAGAGGGGCAAAGAAAGCAAGAAAAAGCCAGUUGAAUGCUUCUUUUGUAGUGGUCUGCAUAAAAUGCAAGACUGUCCAGAGCGAUCUAAGUUGUCCAUGAUCAGUAAAAGAGAAAAAGCGGAACCUAAUGAGAGUAAGGCUUCAAAUCUUGAGUCAAUGAUACUCACUCUUGCGAAAAGGAAUAGUAGGCAGCUAGGGUUGAUGUUUGUGGACAUCAACAUCGUAGGUCAAAGCAAAAGUGCUCUUGUUGAUACAAGAGCAUCAGAUCUAUUCAUAUUAGAGAAAGUCGUAGACAAACUUGGUUUCUUAGUUAGAAAAUCGAAUAAGAAUAUUAAGACGAUAAAUUUCGAAGAUGUCUCAACUAUGAGAGUAGCACGAGAAAUAGAGCUUCAACUCUGCGAGUGGAAGGGUAGGGUAUUGGGAAAUGUGUCCAUAUUGUAGUAAACAUGUAAUUAUUUUCUAUUUAUUUGAAUGAUGAAUAAAUAGAUAAAGUUAAUUUUGCAUUUCACUAUUAUAUUUUUGUAUUUUUGUUUUUCAUAUUUUGCAUGCAUAGCGAAAUUGUGAUAAGAAAAUAUUAGCUCAUUAAUUGUCUAAGUUCAAACUGAUGAUAAGUGGCAUUAUAAGAACGUUUACAUCGCGAGAAAGACUACUUCAAUAGAUAAUCUAAAUGAGUCUGUAAUCUCGUAAAAAAAUCAAAGUGAGCAUUUGAUUCAAAUACUUAGAAGAAUUAUCAUGUCGUCUACAAUUCCAAUUGAAAAGAUGACUAGUCUUGGCUAUCGGAGUAGUUGAUUCCACGAGUAGAGACAUAGAUGUAUUCAAUGGUAGAAUGAUACAUUGGAUUGGACCCAAGAUGAAUUAAUUCUGAAUCUGUUUGUGAAUUUUCACUUGUGAUAUUCAUGGUAUGAUUUACCUAAAUCCUGGGUUAGUCACUGACCAUUCGUAUGUAACUCAUGUGCUUUGAUAUAAGUGGAGGCUUAUGUUCAAAAAAUGGUCAAGCCAAUAACCGGUAUGUUCGGCACAUGACUUGUGUAUGACAUUGCUUUACUAAUAACAAUGGAAUUCAUAGCUCAAUAAAGAGUUAACGAUGUCUUCUCAUUGGCAUUGUAUGGAUUGAUAAAUAUGAAACGUGGCCACGGGUUACUUAUUCUCGAACAAGCAAUUUAUCACAGUCAUUUCUUUACAGUGAUCAUAUUAAUUAUUAAGAAGACACAGUGGCAAUGAUGAGAUAAAAUAGGAUUGUAUUGAGUGAAUAGAUUUAACUUAAAGGAAUCAAGGAUAUCAUAUAAGGGUAACACACACAUGAUGUGGUCAUUGGACAAGGCAGUUGGAUGAAUUGCUUUCGUAAAAAGUAUGCAAUAAGGAGUUUUCAAUCAUCGUACUUCUUGUGAACUGACUCCAUGACUAAAUAAUUACAAAUUAUCGGAACAAUGCUUUUGGACAUAAUUGCAAUUACUAGAGCCUAAUUGUAUAUGUCUGAUUAAUCCCUCCGCUAACUUAACAAAAGCUCGAUCAGACUGCAUUUGAAUCAAAAGAAAAUUCUACAACUUUGGAAAUAACUUAAUUGAGUCGAUUUAUUCGAUGUGGAAUUAAAUUGGGCAACCGUAAGAAUUGUUCAACUAUAGAAAUUGAUUAAAGAAUUUUCUUAAAAAAUUAAUUUAAAAAAUCUAAGUGAUUUUUGGAAAAAUUAAUUUUGAUCAAGUAAAAUUAAAUUAAUCAAAUUAAUUAAAAUUAAUAUGAUAUUUUUAGAAAUUAAUUUUCAAGUCAGACAAUUGGACCAAUGGGUAAUUGAACUUGAAAAUUGGACCUGAGAUAAAAAAUUAAGUUUGGGAGCCCAAAAUCGAGACCAAUAUCCAAAAACUGGUCGAAUCGAGCAUGGUAUAUGAAACUAAGCCAACGGUCUAACUCAUGGCUGGAUUGGACUGGUUGGGCCGUCACUGGCCCAGAUCGAACCGGCAAUAACUGUACCAGCUCGGGGUGUCGACGGCUACGAUAGUGGUAUUCUGGUGGUUAGUAAAUGAUUGGUGGUGGUGAGUCUUCGAUGGUUGAGCAUGGAGGAAUCACACUCUUACUGGGACUCUACCGAAUAAUUUGAUUUCAAAUUAACUAUUACAAAAAUAAUAUUAUUUUAAUAGAUUUAAUACUAAAUUUAAUUUAAUACUUAUCUUAAUAGUUAUCUUAAUAGUAUUAUAUUAAUUUAAUAUUAAAGUGAUUAUCUUAAUAUUAAAUUUACUUUAAUGUUUAUCUUGUAGAUAAAUAUUCUAUUAAUUUAAUAAAAUUUAAUAUUAAUUUAAUAUAAUACUUAUCUUGAUAAGUAUUAUAAUAAUUUAAUAUUAAAGUGGUUAAGUUUAAUUAUAGUUUAACUCUCUAAACUCUCCUUAUAUAAAGAGAGUCUUGGGUCAUUAUUUCACACACACUUGAAUUCAAGAGAAAGUUGUAGAGAGAAAAUUCUCUAAAGAAAUUAUUUCAAAAAUUUCUAGAAAUAUUUUUUAAUUUACAACUUGGCCCAAAAGUUUAGAGAAAUUGUGAAAUUAUCCCACCAGUAUUUUUUGUGAAAAAUUUUUUGAUUUGAAGCGAACCCACACUCGACAAACGUGAGCUUGAGGAUAACGGAGAUGACUACUUAGUUGAAGCGUUCAUCCUAGACGAAUCGAAAAUGUACAAUUUUAAUCAAAUGUUUAUUAUUUUAGAUAUCACAAGCAAGUUCUUAUUUUAGAAAAAAAAUUAAAACUCUGAUUUUUCCCUAAAUUUAUUUUUCGCUGUAUUUUUUGAUCCCGAUUUUUCAACACAAGGAAGAUUUUGAGGUAAUCUAUUUAGAUGACUAUUAUUUUGUUCUUGGCUUGAACUUAUUGACGGGAUUAAGACAGGCCUUUUUCCUUUUCUGAUUGUAUCCAUAUCUUUGAUGAUCCACAAUCACGAUGUGUUGAGCCAGUAAAUCAAGACAUGAAAGUUGGAAUCAAGGUAUUGUCGACAAUCCAGCUAGCCGAGGAUAUUUUGUAUGAAAGGAACAUUGACUCGGUAGAUCAAAUUGCUAAGGAAGGCCUUUUGGAAAUGCUAGUGGGACAUAAAAUCGAUAUGAAGCCUAUUGAGCUAUCAGUGCAGCUACCACCUAUGAGAGAGGUGGGUUAUGCAUCAGACUUUGGGGGUAAAAUGGUGAUACAAAUUGGGCAGUUGAGACGAGUAAAUAUUGCAAGUGAGGUACAACUCAAACACUUUGGUAGUGUUUUUCAUUCUGACUUAUUUGUUGGUAAGGACACGGAGGCCAUUUCAAAGUUUUGGCAGGAAAACUCAAGGUUAACUCAGUGUUCAAUGUGAGCAUGCCAAAGCCUAGUUGUGCGGAUCAAGUGGAUUCCGAUCGAGGCAAGCCACAAUACACAAAAGUAAGAGUGAUGGGCUCUUACAAACGUGAUGUACUAACAAGUGAAACGGUUUGAGUUAGGUAACAAUGGAAGCCGAUGCAAUGGUUCCAAGGGGCAGGACUACCCGACAAUGAGACUAGUCAAGAAAGGGCCAAGGCGUCGAGAAAGUUCCGAGGCAAAUCAAACCAAUUCCAUUCCAAGGGUGCAAUGAAGGCUUUGUGAGAAUGGGUAGGGGAGAAUGUCAUAGGUCAUGGCUCAAAGCCUGUGACCAAAGCACAAAAAGCAUUCCAUGAAGGUCAACAUAUUAAAUGGGGCUUAUUUGACCCACUUGAACUGGUUCGAUUUGAAGAACAAGUUACGAAGCCCAUCUACUUGAAGUCUUAGUGGCCCAGCGAAGUACUUAAGGAAAAUUAGGGUUAUCGUAGUAAAUAUGGAAAGUAAUCUUAAAAGAUUUGUAAUAUUAUAAGAUUUGAUUUUGUAAUCUUAGGGAUUAUGUCAAUCCUUUAAUUGUAGAUAAACUUCGAUCUCGUUCGUCGAUGUAACUCAAUCUAUACCGUCGAUUUUGGGGGAGCUCAACUAUAUAGAGAGUCUAUCCCUUAUUUGUAAUCCUCCAUUGUAUCUUAUUCUUUGAGUUGAAGAAUAUAUUGAGAACAUUUACUCAAACAUCUGGUGUGUUUUGCUUUUCUGUGGCCAUUUUGUUCUUUUAAGCUUUCUUUUGUCUUUGAAUUGCUUCCAUUUUAUAAUUUGGUGCCUUAGAGAAUUUCUAUGAGAAUUCUCACUUUGUAAGAGUUAAGUUGACUUAGGUGUAUUUGAAGUAAAAAAAAACUACUUAAGGUCGUACGGAUUGCAAGAAAAAAAGUUUAACCCUGUAACAUUAGAUUUAUAUUGAAGGAUAAAAAAAAUAUACAUUAUAUUUUAGGAUUUAUUAAUUAUUAUAUAAUAUAUAUAUAAUAUAUGGGGAAGUGUGAGAUGAAGUCACGCACAAAAAGAGAAAAAAGAACUUUUGUCUUGAUUUUUGGUUUUGAGCCGCAUAGGACAGACUUUGACUUUGGUUUUUGGCACCCGCACAAGGAUUUGAGUUUUUGGGAUACUUUUCUUAAAUUUUUCGUCUUUGAGCAAUUUUCUUCCAAUUAUUUCUGGUUUGUUCUUCAAAUUAUGAGUAGCUAAAUAUUUAUUUUAGUUUUAGGUGGAUAAUUUAUUCGGUAUUAAAAUCAUAAGACUUCAAAAUCAUACAUAUAUUUUCAACUUCAAUAUUCAUUAAUUUUCUAUUAGUUGUCUCAUAACAUCGUUUUAAUAUCAAAAUUGAGAAAAGUCCCUUGAUUUGGUGUUGGAUGGCAUAUGAUUGGUGAACCAGUACGAUCAAUAAUUGUCAUGUUUAGUCUAUUGAAAAUUAAAUUGACGUGACCAAUUCAAUGAUUGGUUGGAUCCGUCUAGGGAGUUAACGCUCAAGUUUAAAUAACUCAUGAAGUUGAGUUGGGUCCUUUUAGUUCACAAAAUUGCAUAGAAAUUAAAUUGUGGUAGUUUAUUUCAAGGUUAUUUACUUGGUAAUGAUUAGCUGUUGAGUUGUUCCUGUAAUUAAUUUACAUACAGAACGGAUCAUGGUUUGAGGCUGUUUCUCGAUCACUAUAACCGACUUAUCGGUUGGAGGAGAAAAUCCAUUGUCCGAAAUUUGUUCGAAGUAGGAGUCAAAAUCGUGCCUGAAGUUGGAGCUUUCGUUAUAUCGAUUUACACAACUUUAAUUUUGUUUGUUUAUUUUUAUUGCGCUCAAUUUAUUUCUAGUAUUUAUUUUUAUUUGAAUUUUAGUUAUUUAUUUUAUAUUUAGAUUUAAUCUCCCCUUCUUUAUUUUCAUAGGUUCACAUAAAUUUUUGGUAGUAGGAAAUAAUAAAAUUGAUCAGUCUAGUCUUUGUGGUAUCGACCCUACUUACUAUACUACAAAUUUAAUUUAAUUUCAGUUUAAGUGUAAGAAAUUAUUUUUGGUAGGUUUGACAACCAUUAGAAAACAUCUUAUGUUAAAAGUUAAUUUUUUAUAAAAUUUACUCAAGAAUUAUUAUUGGUGUAGUGGUAAAUAAUUUGUUUAAAAAUCCAUCCAACAUGAGUUUAAUCUUUAGACAUAUUUGUAGAGGCCAAAAUUUGUCUGGCCUAGACCCAACAUAAACAAAACAACGAAAAUAAAAGUAAUAACACACAGUCCAUUUACAGAAGCCCCAAAGCCCAUAACCUAAAUAUUUUUUUUUCAGAAGACCCUAGUUUCCCCCUAAGCCUUAAGCCGCUGCUCCUUGCCACAUCAGCUGGCACUUCUCCCGAAGACAUCAACGCCCUGAGGUCUGCUUCCUGCCAUCAUUUCACCGAAAUGGUUGAGGAGCACACAUUUCCUCGUCGUUGACCACCACCAUGGCACCUGCAAAAGAAGAAACAGAUAGUAGAAACAAAGAAAAACAAAAAGAAAAGAAAAGAAUAUUCUAUUUGGUUCGGCUAUAAAGGCUAAAUCUUCUGUAAUUUUUAACAGGAAGAAAUUGAAUACAAAAAAAAGUAACAAGUUUUAAAAGAAAAGGUAGUUUAUUUUUUAUAUUUCACGAAAAAUGUAAAUAAAAGAAAAAGAAAGUUAUUUCUUACCUAAGCGUCGGUUCACCUCCCCAUUGCAGACAGACGUGGCCCCUAUCUCCGACGAUAGACAGGCCCUCUCUGAUUUCAUAUGAGAGGGUAGGGUUCGUCCUGCUUCUCAAAAACACACAAAGAAGCCGAAAGGUUUCAUCUCAUAUUUUCUAAUUUUGGUUGGGUUUUGGGGUAUUUUAACCCUGGAUUUGAUUCCACGGCUUCAAGGGGAUUCAAAAAAAAGUUUUUCUUUUGAAUUUUUGGCCACUGGAGGCGGUGGUCGCCAUCGCCGAUGACCGGUGGCCAUGGCGAAGUUGUGACGGUAGGAUGGUUGAAAGAAGAAGAGGAUUUCAAAGAAAGAGAGAAAGAAUUUUUUUUAAAAUGAAACCAAGUGAUUUUUUUAGGAUUUUUUAAUUUAUAUAGGCCCCUAAAACGAUGUCAUUUUGGGAUUGGCUUCAGACGUCCAAAACGACGUCGUUUUGGCACGACCCGAAGAUCCGACCCAAAUAGCCCCAAGAUCCACGUGUUUUUUGAAGGGUUGGGAAAAUUGCUUCCUAAACCUUUUCUUUUUUUCCCUUUUUUAAUUUCAUCCUAUACUCCUUUUUAUUUUAUUUUUACCCUUUUAUUUUAUUUUCUUACAUUUUGGUCCCCUGACCUACUAUUGACCUACCAAGGGAAUGACACGUAUGCUGGGUUGGGGAAAAUAACACCCUGGGUCCCUUUACUUUUAAUUUUAUUUUGAUUUAAUACUUUGUUUUUUUUGUUCUUUUAGUUUAUGCUUGGAAUUUCGUUUAGCUUUCAAUUUAGUCCUUUGCCUAUUUUUUAUUUUUAUUUGUUAUUUUAUUAUUUUAUUUUAUUAUUUCCAGCACUUUUAUUUUAUGAUUAUUUAUAUUUUUUCCCCUCUCUAAAUUAUGUAAUUUUAUUUACAUCGUUGAGUAGUUAUUUUUUGUUUUAUUUUUAUUUUUGUCAUUAGAUAUGAUUAUUACUAUUAUUAUCAGGUUAUAGUCAUUUACUGUUUUACCCUCAUUACCUUUACUACAAUUAAUUUAUUCUUUUAUUAUUAUUUCAUUAUAGUGUUAUUUCGUUUGUACCUAUGUAGCUAUUUUAUUUUUUACCAUUAUUUUAUUUUAUAUUAUGCUUACAUACACUCGUUCAUUUGGUACCAAACUCAAACAAAUUAAUUGCACAUCACAUUAAAUGUUAUAUUCGCUUUUACCCGGCGCAUAGGAAAUAAUUAGAACCGAGACGAUGUUCUUUAAUUAGGGGAUUCAAGAAAUCGUGCCCUAACUUAUGGGGUACGACUUUCUCCUUAAACCGAAAUAAUCGAACAUCCUUUUAAAAUUCAAUACACAUAGGACUUAGGUAAUAAUUAAAUGGCGAUUAUUCUUGUUUUUAAGGAUUCGAGACCUCGUGCCCUAACUUACGGGGAAUGAUCUUUUCUUCUUGAUUAACUCGAAAUAAGAAGGCAUUUUCCAUAAAAUUUAAUUUAGUUAGCGAUAUUUUAAUCAAAUAACAUCAUGCAAAAAAAAUGAUCGUACUUUAAAUUUUCUUUGAAUUCUCAAUUCUUGACACUAAGACAUCAAGUAAUCAACUAGAAACCAAUUUUGGGCGUUAUGAGGGUACUAAUCCUUCCUCAUGCACAACCGACUCCCGAACUCAUUUCCUGGAUUUUGUAGACCAAAAAUUAUAGUUUUAGUAAAUCUAACCUUUUAUUAAAAUGAUCAAAUUAUAAGGUGAUCCGAUCACACCUAAUAAAAAUGAUUGGUGGCGACUCCAUUUUCAUUUUCUAAAAUAAAAAGUCGAUUUCAAAAAAGGUUUCGACAAUGUUAAUUUUAGUUCUUUUAUUUAAAAACUAUAUAAAGGUAUGAAAAGGCAAAAAGGUCAUCAAAAUAAUAUAGUAGUCAUUUAAUAAAAUGAUAUAUUAGUCAUUUUCUGACCAAGUUAGUAUCCGAUUAACUUGUGACAUCAACUCAGUCAAGUAUUUUAUUAAUAGUAUAGAUAAAUCAAACAUGAAAUAUAAUAAAUAGAUUGUAAAAACAAAAUUAUUAAAAUACAUAAAACCAUUUUAAUUUUACACUAAUAUAAUUGAAUAUGUUUCCUUUAUCUAUACUAGUUAUUGUUGGAAAAUUACUACUGUAAAAAAACACAUUAGCACUUAUAAGUACAAAUAAUAAGGAAAAUAAAUAAAUAAAUAAAUAUUGCGUCGUGGAGAACCACUGCCUUAGAAGCGGUUUCGCCUUGAUCGAUGUAAUUGGAAAUGGUUGUUGCCCCUGCAUGUUAACACAGUGCUUUCAAAAUUUGUACAUCCGAAUGAGGAAGAUGGAACUCAAUUGGUAUUACUCUUUUUAAGUUUACGGGAAAUAAGAUCAAAAUAAGUUUAAAGAUGGUCGAAAAAUUCGACCUAAAAAAUCACACUAGGAUCAAUUUCCAAUAAAAUUUAAAAGGGUCACAAACGGUAAUUUUUAGUAAAAUAACAAAGCUUUCAGAGAAAAAAAAAUGAGGGAAAUGAAAAGAAUGAUAGAAGCUAGCCUCCUAUUUAUACUAUUAGGUGAAGGGCAAAAUAGUAAAAACACAGGGGCAAAAGAUAAAACUGUCAAAUCUAAUUUUUUAAAAAUAGUUCAAAAAAGAUAUUUUUUGUUUACUAGAAAAAGAUAUUUUUUGUUUACUAGAUUUUUCUUUAUUUUUUAAAAAAUAAUACAAAAAUUUUAUCCAAAAAUAAAUAUGCGUGGUACGUGUGCGGACACUGACACAUGUGUUAGGCAUUUAGUCAAUUACUAAAUGAAGGUAAUAAGUAAGGCUAUAUUUAAACCUUUCAUUAGCUUAUACACAGAAUAUGUUAUUCUUCUUCUUCUUUUUAGAAUUCCUAUACUAUCUUAAUUCUUAGAGAUUAAAUAGAUUAUUUUAAUUUUAAACAUAAUUUGAUUUCUCGUUUUUUUUUUUGAGUGGUUGGUUUCUUUAUUUCUAAAUAGUUAAUAUUGUUAACAAUUUUAAUCAAAAUGCUUGUAAUACCCAAUUAUUGUCCGGGCCCAACUAAGCCUAAGGCCCAAACCCAUUACAAGCCCAAGUCAUUAACCCAAAUCCCUAGCCUAACCAGCAGAGAGCUUCGACGCCACCAUCGCCCCAUGCCGCAACUGCCCACGUUCUUCCCUCGCAACAACAUCCCACGUCUCAGCAACCUCCAGCGCCGUGCAUGCCCCACGUCGCAGCAAUUCCCAUGCACGCAUGUACCUGCAAUAAAAAGAACCACGAGCAGCAAGCAAAAUGGGGGGGGAUAGCAAGUGGUAAAAAAGAUUUAGGGGGGCUAUAUAAAAGGGAAAUCGAAUCUGUAAAAGGGGGUUAGCAAAAUUUUUUGUAUGGAAAAUUUAAAAAAGAAAAUACAAGAGAGAACAAAGAUUUUUUUGGAAGGUGACGGAUUUUGGUUCUUUUUUUACUGUUUUUAUUUUAUUUUAUUUUCCUUUUGUUUCUCAAAACAAAACAAAAAACGAGGAGGGGAAGGAAGGGAGGACUUACCGUUGUGAGUCGUCGGAAGGUGUCCCCGAUUCGUCGGAUUCUAGUCGGAAAUGGGAAAGGACUUGAACGGCAGAGGGGAGGGUCUGAAACAGCAAAGAGGAAGUGCUGCUGCGGCGCAUUUCAAGUGACAGAAGGGAAAUGAUUUUAUAGGGUUCAAAAUGGACUAUUUUCGCCAUUAGUCCUCAUGAUUUAUGGUGCUUUUCAAAUUAACUUAUUUAUUUAUUCUAAAUCUGACUGUACCUUUUAUUUUCGUUUCAAAUUGGUCCAAUAGUGUGCAGCGUUUUAGGGUGGGUUGGAAAAUUACUUUUUCGGUCCUUUAUUUAUUGCACCUGUUUUAAUUUACUCCAUUUCUUGUUUUUAUUUUCAAAAUUCGGCAUUCAACUUCUGUUUGAUAUUUUAAUUUAGUCCUUAAUUUGUUUUUUUAGUUUAUUUUUAUUAUAUUAUUUUUUAUUGUUUAUUACUGUUAAUUAUUAUAUUAUUAUUGUAUGUAUGUAUGUGUGCGCAUAUAUAAUAUAUAUUAAAUGUUUUAAAUAUAUAUGUAGUACGUAUUUUUUUAUUAUUAUUAUUACAAUUUUUUUUGUAUAUAGUUUAUAUAUAUAUUAUAUACAUUCAUAUUUUAUAAUUAUUUAUAUUUUCAUGUUUUAUAAUUCAUAUGUUUAUGCAUUUUUAUAAUAUGUACAUAUCAUAGAUUUUAUUAUUAUUUUAUUUUUUCUUAGCCUUAUAUACAUAUGUAUGCGUAUAUACUUUUAUAAUAUAUAUAUGUUUUCUAUAUUUUAUGAUCCAAAUAUUUUUAUAUAUACGUAUACAUAGAUAUAUAUUGUUCUAUACCUUUAUAAAUAUAUUUUUAAAUUUGUUUUUUUAUAUAUACAUAUGUCCAUCUUUUUGAUAAUUACUAAUAUAUUAUGUUUAUACAUUAUUAUGUUUAUUAUUUUUUUAAAAUGCACGUACAUUGUAUUAUUGAUUCAUUUUUGUGAUUUUUGUAUAUAUUUGCACGAACGUUUUAUCAUACUUUUAAAGAAAGUAUAUUUUUGGUUUUGUUAAUAUUAAAAUUGUUUUUUUUAAAUAUUUGAAUAUUUGGCAAUCAUGAUUCUUGAGAAAGAUCGUGUCCUAACUUAUUGGAUCGUGAUCAUUUUUUCGAUGAAUUUAACAAGCUAAGUAUUCAUUUCACAAUAAAUUUGCAAUUUUCAAAUAAAAGCUUAUUCUCGGGAAUUCAAAAUGUCGAGUCCUAACUUACUGGUCGUGACGAAAUAAGAAUUUCUAAAACAAAAAGUAAUAUUCGGUAUUUUGAAGAUAUAAAAUAUUGUGCCCUACCUUAUUGGGUGUGGUGUUUUAUUUCUUUGAAAUGAGAAUGUUGUAUCAUUUUAAUCCAUUCACGGGUUUAAAAAAAAAUUUAUUUAAAAUCUUUUCAAACUUUCGAUAUCAAGACAUUAAACAAUCAAUUUAGGUACCGAUUUUUGGGCGUUACGAGGGUGCUAACCCUUCCUCGUGCGUAACUGACUCCCGAACCCGUUUUCUCAAAUUUUGUAGACCAAAUUUGUUUUAAAGGUGAGCCGGUCACACUUAAAUCACGGAUCGGUGGCGACUCUAACUUUUGUUUUUUUUAAAGUCGAUAACUUAUUUUUGUUUUCAAAAAUUGGUUUCGACAAUGCUAAUAUCAAUUUCCUUAAGAACACUACUUAAAUAAAAGAUAAUUAUUUUAUCAUGACAAAUUUAAAUGAGUGUCAUUAAGAAGAAAAAAAAUCUUAAUUAAUAUUUUUAUUAUUAAAUGAUUACCAAGUGAAUAUUUUUUUGUCAUUCGCGCUAGAGAAUUUAAUAAAAGAAAUUUAAUGGUGGUAAUAAUUGUAUCUAGAUUUUUAAAUUCGAAAAAUGAAAGAAGUAAAUGUCUAAAAGUAAAAAUAUGUUGAAAAUUUUAAUUUAUAAAUAAUCAAAGAAAUAGAAAGUGUGGGUGAAAAUCAUAUAUAAAAUAUAAAUAUUAUACUACAACUGAAAAACGUUAAAUUUGCGAAAAGAGAACCUGAAGAACGCUUAAUAGUAUAGAUAUAAUAUUACAACUGAAAAACGCGGGAGUAAUUUUCGUGGAAACCUACAAGUAAUGAGAAAAACAUGUCAAGAAAAAAUUUUGCUUUUUAAAUAAGAUACAGUUCAUUCCACUAAGGUUCUACUCAUUGGUUGUUGGGGAUGUAUGUAUCUUUUCCCACUAUCAAAUACUUGCCAAGCUCGAAAGCUGACCUCUAAAAAGCUUGACCAAACUUCCCCAAGUCCCUGAAAAAAUUAACUAUAAAACCCAGUUAGGGAAGAGAGGAAACAAUUGGGAGAUCAUAAAGGACUGAGUGGGAGGUUAAUAGAUCAGUAGAUAUGGAGAAAGCACUCAACAGGCAGAGAGUUUUGCUUCAUCAUUUACGACCCUCUUCUUCUUCUUCUUCUUCUCAUGAAUCUGCUGCUACUCUCUUUGUAAGCUUAAUCCUUUGCAUUAGAUUUUUUCUUCUUGUUUUUGUUUCUCCUUUCAUUUUAGUGAAUGGGUUUGAUUUCAUUUCAUCAGCCUUCAAAUUGUGCGGCUGGGGAUAGCGCUGCUUAUCACCGGACGGCUGCCUUCGGGGACGAUGUUGUGAUUGUGGCGUAAGUUGUUUUACAGUAUCCUUUUCUUCCCUACUCUAAAUCUUUAUUUUAUAAAUAUUUUUUACUUACACAGGGCGUGCCGCACUGCAAUUUGUAAGGCCAAACGUGGAGGCUUCAAGGAUACACUUGCAGAUGAUUUACUUGCCCCUGUUUUGAAGGUUAGAUGUUGCUUUUGGUUUUUGCGUUGAGCUGUCGUUACCUUGUUCCCACCUAUCUUUAACUUAACUCUCCAUGGCAUGCAGGCUUUGAUAGAUAGAACAAAGUUGGACCCAAGUGAAGUUUCUGAUAUAGUUGUGGGUACGGUUUUGGCACCCGGCUCACAAAGAGGAAUCGAGUGUAGGAUGGCUGCAUUCUAUGCUGGUUUCCCUGGUAUGCCUCUUCUUUGAUUUCAUUUGUUAAUUGCUACUGGCAUGCUAGAUAUGGAGUCACCAAGGUGGUUACUUUACUAUGUUGAUAAUAGAGAUGUCAAAUGAAAGGCAUGCAUUGACUUCUAAAUUGUUGGUUUAAUUUACAUUUUACAGUCCCUUUUCAUAUACAUAUUGCUAAAAUAAUAACACUCGUCAACCAGAUACGGUGCCUAUUAGAACUGUCAACAGGCAAUGUUCAUCUGGCCUACAAGCAGUCGCUGAUGUUGCUGCUUCCAUAAAAGCAGGAUUUUAUGAUAUUGGUAAAGACACUAUGCCUUAUCUAUGUAUAUGAAUGCUGAGACGGAUUUAUUUGAAUAUGAAUGGCAUUCACCUAGUUGGCUUUGAAUGAAGGCAUUGGUGCUGGAUUGGAGAGCAUGACAACUGACAAAGUUGUUCCUGGGGUUCCCAAAGUUAACCCAAAGGUAUUAUGAACAAAUAGUUUGUACUCACUAUCUAGGAUAUCUUUUACAUGGUAACAUGCAACUUGUUUUCACAGGUAGAGAGCUUUGCCCAAGCCCGGGAUUGCCUUCUUCCUAUGGGCAUUACUUCUGAAAAUGUUGCAGAACACUAUGGUGUGACACGGCAAGAGCAAGACCAGGCUGCUGUGAGUUCUGUGCAUUUACUUUUAUAUACUGAUAUAAGCUUAAUUAUUAUCAGUCUGAAACGCCUGCAAUUUGUUAAGGUAGGUUGAAUCUCAUCGACGUGCUGCUGCUGCAACAGCCUCUGGUAAAUUCAAAGAUGAAAUUGUCCCUGUACUUACCAAGGUAAGUUUUGUGUAGUAAAUUAUUCUGGUUUAGGAUUGUUUUAUGAUGCUUGGUUAACUUGUUUUAAUCUGUAAAGAUUGUGGAUCCCAAAACUGGGGAAGAGAAGGCAGCCACAAUUAUGGUAGAUGAUGGAAUCCGCCCAAACACAAACAUGGCAGAUUUAGCAAAGUUGAAGCCUGCAUUUAAAAAGGAUGGAACCACCACUGCUGGUAUAUAUAAUCACAAAACUUGUGAAAUUCUGAGAACAACAAUAUGCAGUUGUAUGAAACUUGUGUUACAGCUUGCAACAUUUUUUUUUCUUAGGAAAUGCAAGCCAAGUAAGUGAUGGUGCAGCUGCAGCCCUCCUUAUGAAGAGAAGUUUGGCUAUGCAAAAAGGACUUCCAAUCCUCGGCGUUUUCAGGUAAUGAGAAUUUAUGGACUGAUUACCGUCGGAGAAUUUUAGGUAGGAGUGGAUAUAUAAAUUCACAUUUGUAAGCUGAUCACACUGCUUGUUUUUGCUCCUUUUUUUAUAGGAGUUUUGCUGCUGUUGGUGUGGAUCCUGCUGUGAUGGGCAUUGGCCCUGCUGUUGCUAUACCGGCUGCUAUAAAGUCUGCUGGUCUUGAGCUUGAUGAUAUAGACUUGUUUGAAAUAAAUGAGGUGAUGGGUUUCUUUAGUUGAUUUUUAUUUUGAGGGUGAAUCAAAUUUAAGCCCUCCUUUCUUUUUCUAAUUAUGCAAUAUGUAUUUUGCCUCAGGCAUUUGCAUCCCAGUUUGUAUACUCUUGCAAGAAAUUGGGGCUUGAUCGUGAAAAGAUCAAUGUUAAUGGAGGUGCAAUAGCCCUUGGGCAUCCUUUGGGUGCUACAGGUACUUAAAAAAACAAUUGCCCUGGUUAUCCAACCUGGUUGCUGCAUGGAAGUGGCACACAAGCCAAUACACAGAUAAACAGUAUUACUGUAUAAACAUGUAUUAAGUUUUGCUAUACACUAUUCUAUGUAUCAGGAGCUCGAUGUGUGGGAACUCUAUUGAAUGAGAUGAAACGUCGUGGGAAGGACUGUCGCUUUGGAGUGAUCUCAAUGUGCAUAGGUAUCCUUAUCCUUCUCUCCCCCUCUAACCGAGGAUUGAACUGAAAUGUUAAGCCUGGUUCAUUUCCUUUCUUUAUCCGAAUCUCUUGUCAUGCAGGCAGUGGAAUGGGGGCCGCUGCUGUUUUCGAAAGGGGGGACUGCGUUGAUGACUUCUGCAAUGCUCGAGCUGUCCAAAAAAACGACCUUCUCUCCAAGGAUGCUCGAUAGAGAUGUUUGUUGGUAUCUUAAAUGUUUGCUUUAUGUAUUCAAUAAAACUUUGGCAUAUUCCCAAGCAAAAGUUAGAUAAUCAUGUCGAUUUCAAGAUCCUUGGAAUGGCUUUAUUCUUCUAUACUAAAUGUUCAUGUUUGCUUAUUAGCCAUAGAUUAUUCCUAAGAACGCAGAAGCUAGUGGAUUACCAAAGCAUUCAACUUGAUCAUAUAGUUAAAAUUGAAUUAGAGAUACAGACGUCGAAUCACAGUUAUGAUUCGCCUAAUCAAAUCAUUAACCAUUACAGUAAUUGUGACCAAUUCUGUCCUAUAAUGAAACCUGGGGAAUCUUACAGUGAUUAAGGUCUAAAUGAAAAGAGGUUUCCUUCUAUGCCAGAGUUCUCUCUGAAGCUGAGAAUUUGAUAACAUUGAAAGGGAAGAACCUAAAAACCAAAAGAGCUGACAGCCUCAUUCUGGAUCAGGUGAGCCUCCUGGGACCAGCUGCAAUGUACAAAAAAGAAUUAUUAUGAGAAAUUUAGAUAGUGGAAUUCAUUGCAAUUCUUCAUGUUGAGCGGCAUUUGGUUUCUAUUGUUCAAACUGAUACAUUUGCCCCCAGUUGGCGAUCUACAGUUCUACACUUCAUGUGCUUAACCAUAUAAUGCAAUCCUCAAUAAAUAUGCCAAUCCUAAGUACAGUGUGAUCUUAAGAAGUGUAUUAACUAGGUCACAAAUCAUUUAAACUUACAAUGGCAAUGUUAUUUCCAUUAAGCAAAAUUUGAUCAAGCUUCGUGAUCCGUCUUCCCUCAGUAGUGAUCUCGCUGUGAUGCAACAGAAACGAAAAAGCAAUCAAGACCAACACCAGUGAUAAACAUUCUCCAAUUACUUACGUAUACAAGCAUCGGGAAAAUUUGUUGCCAGGCCAAUACAAGUCAAUCAAAAGAGCACAUCUUCUCAUUAUUUUCAAGCACAUGAGUAAGAAAAUCAAACACCUUAUCACUCUCGAAUGAAAAAAGAAACAUCACAUAGUAAAAUAAAUGUGAAAAAAAAGUACAACCAAGCAAUGAAUAUCAAAUUGGAAGCAAUGUAGUUAGCUAAGUGAGCAGACAUCGAGCCCAAAAACACUGGCUACAUAGAUUGCUGGUUCUUGAUAUGUUCCGAGGAUGCCAAUGAUACAAAUUUAUCAGAGAUCAAAAUGGUUUGCUGAAAAACCAAACUCUGACAGAAGGCACCAAUGUUGUGAAGAAAACUAGUUCUAAAUCACACCCUAUCAGAACAAACUUUUAAGCCAUCUCACUUUCUCCGGUUACCACCUUGCUACUGAGAAAGAAUUCAAACAUUGAACCAAAAGAUGAAAAGCAAAUCUUAAAUUCAUCGGAAUAUUCAGGGCAAACAAAAGUCAUGGGACAAAGAGGGAUACCAUAAAUUUGAAAUUUGUUUAAAUACAUGAAACAAUGGCUAAUACCCAGAAACCAAAACUCCAACUUGAUCUCUUUCCCGUCACUUUCCUAACACGAUUGUACAUAAAACCCUAACACACACAAGGGAAAUCAAAGCCUAGAUAUGAUGUCUAAUCUAUAUCUAAACAUUCAAAGAGAGAAAGGGGAGAGAUUUACUAUUCGGUGACAUCUUCAAGGACCAUGUUAACGUAGACAUCGAAGCCUCUGAGAGUACCCACGAGCUCUUUGUCACCUUUCAUUAUCACCCAAAUUUUGGACCCUAUGCACCUGUCUAUCAACUCUGUAAACACAAAGCAAGCAAACCCAAAUCAGAAUUUAAUCCAACUUCCUCGAGAAAUUUAAGGGAAAGUGAAAGAAAAACUGUCACCUGAAGGAAGAAGCUGUGAGGGAUUGUUUGCCAUUGCUUUGAGAGAGUUGUUCACUCAAAAGUAAAGCUCCCAAUUGUUUGAUUCAAGUUUUCUGUAAUCGUAAUGAAACGAGUUACUAAUACUAUCCGUAUGUCAAACAGGCCCUGUCGACCCAAUGGACUUCAAAUUUUGCCCGACCCAGCACCUCCGGGCCAGCCAAGCACGGCCCUUUUUCAACCGCUAAGCACUGACGAAAAAUAUUUGUUACUUUUUAUGUCUAUUUUUACGAAAAAUAGUUUGAUGAUCGGAAUUUUUAAAAUUGUCUCCGGAAAACAUUCAAUCAAACGUCAACUCAUCCUGUCAAAAGCUUUAUUCAACUCUUUUGAGACCUCCUAAAUCGACAGCUCCUUUAUUUUUGGCCAAGGUUGCUUUAACUAACUUAAUUCUGUUGAUAAUAUUAUUAUGAGAUAUUAUCUUUUGGUAAUUUGUUUCUUAAUUAAUAUUAUAUGAUAUUAUUAUAGGAUAUUAUUUUUUAGUAAUUUAAUUUUUAUGUAACUAUUAUUGUAUAGAUAUAUAUAUACUCUUGAGAUCUAUUAAUAAAAUUUAAGAGAUUACCCUAUUUUUGUUAUGGCAUAUGAGUAAGGUUUUUUACACAAUUUUUUCUUUCAUUAUUCUGAGUAAGGUUUUUUACACAAUUUUUUCUUUCAUUAUUCUAAAUGGCUAGCGGCGAGUCUUCUCCUCCUCCACCACCACCAAGGGAGGCGACACUUCCUGGUUUUACCAUUGAGAAAUGGCAGUCUCUUCUAGCGGUGUUCGAUAAUAAACAAUCAACCUCCACUCAGUUGAAUGGUAAGUCCAAGAAUAAUUGGAUUAUUGAUAUGGAAUGUUCAAAUCAUGUUACGAGUGAUCUUAUGUGUUUGACGAAUGUGAGAGAUGUUGUAGCAUGUUCCGUAGAACUCUCUGAUUGCCAAAUAGUGGUGGCUACCCAAAAAGGAAUGGUUAAAUUGACAGGCAAAAUUUAUUUAAAAUACGUUCUUUACGUUCCUAAACUAAACUGCAAUUUAAGUAUUUUUGGGAACGAUUCCGCUGCUUUGAAAACUUUUAAGGGGUAUCUCAGUUCUUGCUUCCAUAUGAAUGAUCUUGGUGUUUUGAAAUAUUUUUUGGGAUAGAGGUAGCUCGUAGCUUAUAGCUCUUUGGGGUUGCUUCUUUAUCAAAUGAAAUAUGUACUUGAUAUUAUUUCGGAGGUGGGUCUUUUAGGAGCAAAGCCCAUAUGAUCGCCAAUAGAGCAAAAUCAUAAAUUAGAGCAUGCUACAGGGACAAUUUUGUCUGAUCCUGAACCGUACAGAUGGUUAAUGGGUCAUUUUAUUUAUUUGGCAGUGACUAGACCUAAUUUGACAUACUCGAUUCAUGUCUUAUCCCAGUUUAUACAUGAGCCGAGGUAGGAGCAUUGGGACGCGACUCUACGUGUUGUCUGGUACUUGAAACUUGAAAGGCUCUAUUGGCCAAUGGAUUAUUUUGAGAUCUGAUAGUGAUUUAUCCUUGAAAGGAUGGUGUGUUUUGAAUUGGGCUGCUUGUUUAUUAACUCGACAUUUGUUAUUGGCUGGCUUGUCUUUCUAGGACAAUCUCCUAUUUCCUAGAAAACUAAGAAACAACAUAUUGUUUCCCGUUCUUCUGCUAAGGUUGAGUAUAGGUCUAUGGCUUCUGUCACUGGUAAGCUCAAGUGGCUGAAGGCCUUGCUAUUGAGCUUAGGUGUUCAUCAUCUUAAAGCAAUUCUUUUAUUUUGUGAUAGUCAAUUUGUGCUACAUAUUGCACAGAAUCUCAUAUUUCACGAGCGUACUAAACAUAUUGAAGUGGAUUGUCACUUUGCUAGGGAUGCAAUAUAUGAUGGGUUGAUUGUACCUUCUUAUGUUUCGACCUCUGUUCAGUUAGCUAACAUUUUGUAACAACACAUUUUUAGUGGUGUCGAAAACAGUGGUUUCAGGACCACGAUUCCAAAAAGUGAGUCAGUGUUUUAUUAUUUAUUAGAGUCAUACUAAAAUUCAAAUAAGAAAUUUUAACGUUUAGAUAGUUAAGUAAUUAAAAAGGACUAAAUCGUAAAAGAAGUAAAAGUUGGUCUCCACCAACUAAAUGUAUUAAAUAACUAGAUAAUGUAAAUCAAAUGGACUUAAUGGGUAAAUAAACCAUGAAAUUAGAUAGUAGACAAUUAUGGACAAGGUUUGGUUGAAAUUUAAAGUUAAUGUUGUAAGGGUAAAAUAGUAAAAUGUGAAAUAAAAUAACAUUAACAAAAUUAAGUGAUCAUCUUCUCCAUUUGUGCGUUCUUUGACCGAACACCAUAGCCAAAAGGUUAGCAAACUUUCGGCCAAGCUAAUUCCUUGCAUGGUAAGUGAUUUUUAUUUUGUUUCUAAUUAUUUUUGUGUUUUUGUGAUUGUAUUAGCUUAAAUUAGCUAACCCAGGGGUCAAUUCAUAAAAUUGUUAAAAUUAUAGGGAUCUACCAUGAAUGAAUUGAAUAUGUUUUUAACUUAGUUGAUAGAUUACUAAGGUUAGUAGCUAAAUAUAAGUAUUUUGUUAAGUGAUUUUUGGUAAUUUUAAUGUUUAGCGACUUAUUUGUGAAAAUAGUAAACUUUCAUGUAAACAUUGUGAAAUGGUGAUAAAUAUGGGCUGUAAUGGAUCCCUAUGAAAAUCGACUAGCAUGAAUUUUAGUUAAUUGUGGUUAAAUUGCAAGUUUCAGGUUUAUAGACUAAAUUGCAUAAAGAUAAAAUGUUGGGGUAAUUUUGUAAAAUGAUGAUGGAUUGACUUAAUUGUAUAAAAUGGCUUAUUUGAGUGUUGGAAUGGUAUUAAUUGAAUGAAAUUAUUAUUUAGAUUAAGAAACAAACCAAUCGGAUUUAGAUCAAAGAAAAACUAAAGUUUUGGACUAGUCGUCGAAUCUGUUUUUGCAACCGUUUUGGUUUAGGUAAGUUCGUAAGUUAAUUUAGUAGUGAAUUAAUUGAUGUUUUGUAAUUCAAUGAUUAUCUAUAUAUAAUUGGUUCAUCAAAUUCCUUGGAUUGAGAAACGAGAAAGACCAUAAUUGAAAGGUAUCACGAUAUUUAAACCGAAAUAAUAAGACCAUAGUUGAAAGAUAUUAUGGCACUAAACCAAAAAUGUGUAAGACCAUAGUUGAAAGAUACUAUGGCAUUAAAGUCAAUAUGAACAAGACCAUAGUUGAAAGAUAUUAGGGCAUUACAUCGGUAACGAUCAAAACCAUAGUUGAAAGAUACUAUGGCACUAUUUUGGGAAUGCAUAAGACCAUGGUUGGAAGAUACCAUGGCAUCCUUUGGAAUAAUGAAUUAUUCGGAAAGGUACACCAUUGGAGUGAAUACUUCACUGAACUAUCGAGGUUUGUUGUACGAAAAUGAAUCAAAUGAUCAUAUAGAUGAUUUAUGACUUAAUGCAUAAUUAAGUUAAAUAAUCUUGAUUUAGCAAAUUAUGUUACAUUCUAUAUAAGCUUCCUAAGCAUAAUUUGCUUACGUUGUCUGUAUUUUUCUAUUGUAGAUCUUGAAAAGCUUUGAUAGUUGGAAGAUCGAGUCGGAGCACACACACUAUCCGUUCAUCAUCUCGGUAAAUGUUUUGAUAUUUUGAUGUAGGUUAUAAAUGGCAUGUACUAGGAAUUUUUAAGCUAUUUUUGUCAAUGUGAUGAUGUUUUAACCUUCUUUUAGCUACUUGUACAUAUAUGGCUUGGUUUUGGUUCAAAGUUGUAUAAAAGAUGGUGUUUUGGCAUCUUAAUUUCAUCUACUUAUAAAUGGUUAUAAUAUGUUUAUGGUAGACAUAAAUGGUAAGAAUGAAUGAUAAGUUUGGUAUGUGUUUAUGGUUGAAUAUUAUGGUUUGAAUGCAAAGUAGCUUGGUGUGAUAUAUGAAUUUGAUUUGGAAAUUGAAUUGUGGUGUCAAUUAGGGCACAUUGGUUAAGCAACUAGGUUGGAUUUUUGGUAUAUUAUAAGUUUGUUUGAAUUAGUUUUGAAGGCAUGAAAAUGGUUGUUUUUUGUUGUGGCUUCGUAUCUAAGAAAUGGUAUUGUUUUGGCUUAUUUUGGAAGACAUAUUUGGUGCACACGGCCUGGGACAUGGGUUGUCACACACCUAUGUGUCUUAUUGAUUUUCAAGUGCAGGUUGGUCCACACAGUCACAGAGAGUUACAUGGCCUAGCGACACAGUCGCGUGACCUUAUUUCGAAUGCACACACGAUCUAGCACAUAGUCUACGACAUGACUGUGUAAAGCUAUUUUGAAUACCCAUACGGGCGGGCACACGAGUUGGGACAUGACCGUGUGUCCCAUAGUUCAAAUGUUAUACGGCUGGCCACACGACUAUGUUUUGAAUUCGUGGUUUUGCCACAUGGUCGUGUGACCCUGUUUCUAAUUUUUUUCAAAAUUUUCUAUUUUAUUUCAAAUUAGUCCCUAAUUGUUCCCAAACUAUUUUUAAGGCCCUAUAGGUGGAAUGGAAUGGAAUGUUAAUGUUUUAAAUUGGUAAAUUGUUUCUAUUUGAUGUUAAUUGUUUUGAUUUGUACGAUAAUACUCUAUAACCCUAAUCCGAUGAAGAAAGCGGAUUAGGGGUGUUGCACAUUUUUACAAAGUCGUUUGGUAAACUUCAAUUUGAAUAUCUUCUCAGCAAGCUGGGCAAUUAUGAUUUGCAUGCUCUAACUUGAGGGGGUGUUAGGGUAUUAUUAUGGGAUACUAUCUUUUAACAAUUUGAUUCCUAAUAAGAUGUUAUAUAAUAUUAUUAUGUGAUAUUAUCUCUUAGCAAUUUGAUUCCUAAUGGGAUAUUAUAUGAUAUAUUAUCUUUUAGCAAUUUGAUUCCUACGUAACUACUACUGUAUAGAUAUAUAUAUACCCUUGAGGUCUAUCAAUAAAAUUCAAGAGAUUACCUUAUUCUUAUCAAACUCCAAUAAGAACAUUAUAAGAGAGAAGUCUUUUGCUUGUCAACUUGUUACCAUGUUGGUUCUUUUUCAUGGCUCUACUAGACCACUUCUUAUUGGUGAAAGCUUGAACUCUGCACCUGUUACUAAUAAUGCAGCUACGGUUGUUACUUAGCCCUUUCUUCCCUAAUUGAGAGCAAUAAUGAUCUGGGGUUUUUCUUUGCAAAUAUAUCCCAUAAUCCAAAUCAUGCAGUGGUUGAAGUUGAUGAACCAACUCAGAAAACUUUGGAACUUCCAAGCAAUCAACCUUUUGUGCCUAUGCUAUUAGAGAACACCAGUUUACCUAAAGAUGCAGACAAUAAUAUCCAUUCAUCCAAUCAUGAUAGUGGUACAAAACAUAAAAGAGAUGUACACGAGAGUGAUAAACAUGCAAAUUCUGAAGAUUGAAGUCCAAAUGUCUGCAAUGGCUAUUAGAAGUGGAUCAAGAUGGACCUAUAGUGACUCUAUGAUAAGGGCUUAAAAGGGUUGGCACGUUAGGAUUUUGUGUCAUUAUUCCAAUGAUUUCGUCAUUAUACUUGUCAAUUUUCAAAUAGAUUGAUUUAAAUAAAAUUUUAUAAUUAAAUUAUUAUAUUUAUAUUUUGUCCUUAAUGAAUUUUGCAUAAAAAACAAAAUGAAUUAAUAAAUAUCAGUUUAUUGAUUACCUAAGUUUAAAUUAAUAUUAGGUUGUAUUAUAGGGAUAAAUUAUAAUGCCAAAAAUAAAACUUAUAUUUGUAGGUAAUUUAAGUUGUUUGUAAUUUAAGGAAUCAAAACGAGUAAUUGUGUAACAUCUUGAAAUUUGGGGUUAGAAGUUUUGAGGAUUAUGGUUAGGGUAAGUGAUAGGUUGAGCAAUUGUGUUUAUUUUCGUGUUUUAACGUAAGAAUGAGUCUAUUGGUUUGGUGGUUGAGUGUGUUGCUAGUUUGCCUUGGUCUUGUGUUUGAAUCCCGAUGUGAGAAAUUAGAGAAUUUUAUUUUUGGGGUUUUUUAGUAUUAAAUUAACUUUAUUUAUUCUCUUAAUUAGAUUUUUUUUAUUUUUACUUUCUUUCACAUUAUCCUAUUUUUCCUCUCUUUCUUUCACACGUUGGUUUUUUUUUUUGUUUCUCUUAUGUCAGUAUCAUUUUUUUUCUUUUUUCUUCUUUUGGCUAUUAUGCUUUCCUUUGUAUCCUAGUGGUCGUGCAUUAAAGUUUUGCUUUUGGUCUUUCAAUAGAGGAAUUGCAUGAUUAGUUUGUUUAAAUGCUGAAUCAUGUAAGUAGGGGUGAGCAAAACUCGAUUCGACUCGAAAAAAUCGAAAAUAAUUCGAAUUUCGAGUUAAACGAAUCGAGUUAAUCGAGUUAUUCGAAUCAACUCGAAUAUUUUUUUUGAAUUUCGAGUUCGAAUCGAGUUGAGUUUUCGAAUUCGAAUAACUCGAAUAAUUCGAAUAAUUCGAAUAUCAACUAUAAUAUUUUACAUUUUUACCCCAAACUCCCAAAACUUUUUACUUUUCCCUCAAAACUUUUACUCCUUCCCAUUUUCCCCCCAAAACUUUUACUCCCCUUCCCUCCUAACCCCCCAAUCUACCCAAAAUCCAUUUCCCACCAAAAUUUUACUCUCCCAUUUAUUUUUUCUCAAAAUUUUACUCCCAAAAACCCUCAAAACCUUUUAUUUUCCCCAAAAAUUUUUAGUCUCCCCCACUUUUCCCCUAAAACUUUUAUUCCCUUCCCAUCCCACCUCCCAUCUAUCCCAAACCCUCCCCCCUCCAUUUUUUUUAAUAUUUUCCCUCCAAAAUUUUACUCCCCUCUAUUUAUUUUCCCUCAAACUUUUAUUCCUCAACACUUUUUAUUUUUCCCCUAAACUUUUACUUCUCACCCUUUACUCUCAAAUAAAAAAUCAAAAUUAUCCAAAAAAAAAUCACUAAACAUAAAUAGUAAUAAUUUUAUUUAUAUCUACUAUUUAUAUUAUUAAAUUAAAUUUCACAUUUUAUAUUAUUUAUAUUAUUGAAUUGUUUAGUCAUAUUGAAUAUUUAUAUUAAAAUUGAAUUAUUAAUUAUGCCAUAAAAUAUUCGUGUUAAAAUUUUACAUUGGUAUCAAUUUUACAUUUUAUUUUUAAAAUAAAUUUUAUUAAAAAAAUCAUAUUUUUACAUUUAAUAUAUUUUUUAAUUCUAAAAUACAUAGUGACAAGAAUCUGAAGAUAAUUGAAACAACUAAGCAAGCAAAGAAGCUAACCAAUAUAUAAAAAAUUAAUAAAUAAAUUAUGAAGUGAUGAAAGUUACUAAAAAAUUUGAUUAAGGUGGACAAAUUUUAUUACGAUGGGUGACAAUGGUUACAAGGACCCAAAAUUAUUUUUUAAAAUUUAACUCGAACAAAUAUAUUCGAUUCGAUUCGAUUCGAAUUCCAUCUCACUCGACUCGAUUCAAGAAAACUUCAAAUAAAGUUAGGACGAUAAAAUGAGAUUCGAAGACUCGAUUAACUCGAAAAUUUUUGAUUCGAUUCGAUUCGAUUCGAUCGAAUGCUCACCCCUACAUGUAAGUGUUUUCGAAUUUUAAUUUGGAUUCUUGAUUCUUUAUUUGUUGAUAAAGCUUUUAAAGUAGUUGUGUAUUUCGAAAUUGAGUUUCAAAUUGGUUGAGUUCAGUCAAAUCGACUGGUUUCCGAUUUUAGAAUUGCGUUCUAAAGUGUAUUUCUGAACUAUAUUGUUUGUGGGUCAAUUUAUUGGUCGAAAUUCUCUUUUUUAGAUUGUUUCGGUAUGGUUUGGUAACCACACGGGUGACCACACGGGCGUGUGCUACACACAUGAGAUUCACACGGUCGUGUGAUUUUGGGAAUUAGGGUUUUUAGAUGAUUUUUGGUGACACACGGUCGUGUAGUUGAUAUUUGGGGAUUAUUAUCGAUUUGCACACGGGCGUAUAAGAUUUCCACACAGCCGUGUCUACCCUGCACCUUAUUUUGCUAAUUUUGGACAGUGAGUUACACGAGCUGUUCACACGGCCAUGUAACUUGGUCACACAGGCAUGUGUCUCCUUCACACGAGCGUGUAGACCCCCGUAUGACCUAGGCCCUUCCAACGGCCGUGUGACCCUGUUUCGCAAAUUUUUAUUCUGUGUCGUAUUUUGAACCAUUCUAGUUCUUAUGUAGUCCAACGUUCAUUGAUGCCUCUAUAAAUGUGUUGGGAUUCUAUUUUUCGCUUAGAUUCGAGUGUGUGUUUGCAAAUAUAGGAUUUAAGUUAAUUGUUUGUUCAUGUGUUUAGAUGAUGUGAUAAAUGAAUUAAGGUAUUUUUUAUAUCGUAAAACUAGUAAAACCGAUUCUGAAAUUGACUGACUGAAUAUGAGCUUCUGUAUCUUUGAGUCUGUUAGUGUUUGGUGUGCAUUCAUACAUUUGUAUAAAAUUGGGGGUUUUUGGUUGCGAAGAGAAGGAAUAUUGAUUUGGGCAAUUUUAACUGCAAUAUUUAUGUACAGCGAUUUAUUGCACUAUACUAUCCGUAUACCAGCUCAGUUGUAUACUUUUACUCGAGUGACUUAGUUCCACUAUAUGUGAUGUGUAGGUUGGAUGAAUCUAUUAUGGUUCUAUGUGGUGUGUAGGGUGGACGGGCCUUCUGUAUCCUUUAUAUGGUGUGCAGGGUAGACGAAGAGAUGUUUAGUUGGUUGGGUAGUUGUAAAUUAAUGUGAAUAGUCUGACGUGUAAAAUAUGCCAUUAUGGUGUGUGUGUAUGAUUACUAGAAAUUACUCGUAAGAUGGAGUACUGAUACUUGUUGUUCGUUCACUGUUUGUGUGCACAUAUUAAAUAUUCAUUUUGAUUCUUUGCCUGUUGCUUUUGUUUAUAAUUUCAGACUCACACUGAGCUCAUGUAGCUCAUUCCUUAGUUUCCUCUCUUUCAAAUAAAUUUUGUGUUAGAAGUUGGACUCGACAGCAGAAGGUUUCAAAAAGUUUGGUUUGAUUCGGUUUAGUUAAAACUUUUAUAAGUCUAUAUGAUUGGUUUUAAGAUUUUUUGUAAAGUGAUUAUAUAAAUUGUGGUAUGGGUUAAGGUUUGAACUUUGCGUUAAGCUACGUGAUUUCGAUUUUGAACAACAUAUUUUUCGCACAAUUUCUAAUUUGAAACUUCGAGAUACAUUUGGGAACAUUGAUGCAUUUUUGAAACUGUACAACAAGAAAUUCCUAAAUGUUUUAACACCACUUAAUUGUGGUUUUGAACCAUAAAUUGUUAAACGAUUAGUACGAUUUUAGCAAACUGUAUUCGAAAUGAGUUCUAAACAUUUCUUUUUAUAAAUUGCUUUUGGAUCACUUCGAUGGUCAAUGUAACCUCCGAGAUUCGAUCAAAACUUCUGAGCAAGUUUUAGGGUGUUACAAAUUGAUUCGUGAGACAAUUAUUUUGUCUAUUAAGUCCAAUUGGAGAGACACCUUAUUUUAAGUAUCAGAGCAAAUGAGAUAUGAUUAUUCAAAUUGAAAAUAUAUUUGGACAUGACUCAAGUUGAAUUUAUCCUAAAUACGUUUAUGAAUUUAUUCACUUAUGAUGAUCAUGGUGUGACUUACGUCAUUUUUGAGUCAGUAAAUAACAAUAUGUACCUAACUCAUAUACUUUGAUAUACUGAAAGCUUGUAUUCCAUUGGUCUUGGAGUCGAAAGUUGGUAUGUUGAAUAUGUGAUUUAUGUAUGACAUGAUUUCGCUCACAAUAGUAAAAUUCAUAGCUCAGAGAAAGAGUAAAUAGUAUCAUCUCACCAACAUUACAUGGAUUAUGAAAAAAGAACAUGUCCCUAUAUUGUUCAUCAAGGAUAAAUUAUUGUUAUUACUUUUUGUUAGUAAUAAUAUUUUUCAUUAUGAAAAAUGCAAUGGUAAUCAUAUUGGGCAAACAAAUUUAACCCAAAGAUAUUAAGUAUAUUACACUAAUGACAAGGUAUUGGAGAAAAACAUAAAUCUAAGUUGUUUUUGUAAUGGUAUAUAAUGAGAGAUUAGUCAAGGUGCUUUUGGAUUGACUUCAUGACUAAAUAAUGUUAUAACUAAUAAAUGAAGAGUCGAAACUUGAUUACAAAUUAUUUAAAAUCUAAUUAUAUAUGUUUCAUAGAUCCUUUCGUUAGCUCAAUACAACUCUGUAUGGAAUGCAAUUUAAAACUGUUAUGAUAAAUGAAUGAAAACGAUGAAUGAGAAAUAGAUUUCAUGAAUUACAAUUCACAAGAUAUUCAUUUUCUCAAUAGGAACAAAAGAUGACUUAAAAAUUAAUUAAUAUCUUUGGAUUAUUAUUUACUUGAAUGUAAUUAAAUAAUUGAGUUCAAAGCGAGAAUUAAAUUAUUUACUCAUCAUAGUUUUACUAAAUAGGUCAAUUAAAAUUUUUUGGCUAAAGGGGUAUAUAGGCCCUUAAACUUUCGCGAAAAAAUCAAUUAAGCUCUUCCACGAAAAAUGCUCUCAAUUAAGCCCUCAAGCUCUCAAAUUGCAUCAACUUUUUACCAAUAUUUUUCGCCUUUGAUCAUUAUAGUGCUGAGAUGGUCAUUAACGGUGUUGACAUGGCACUGCAUGUCAGCAAUUGCUAAUGUGGCAAUACCACUUCAGCUGUCACAUUAGCAAAAAAUAAAAAAAAAAGUCAAAAUUUUUUUUUAAAAUAAAAAACUUGAAAGAAAAUUUUUUUUAUUGGAAUUGUCCAAAUUCAUUCAUUUUAGAACUUAACUUUAAAAUUUAAAAAUUAUUUUUUAAAUAAUAAAUUUGUAAAAACAUUAUUAAAAUUUAUAAAGAGUACUAAAUAAAAUUAAAAAAUUAAAUAUUAAUAAAAGUCAUUUAAAAGCUAAAGCCCGGAUGAAUAUGAACCUAUGGUUGUCCAAGUUCACAUUGAACCUGAACAACUGUAUGUCCAGAUUCAAUGUUAACUCCAUUUCCAAUCUAAUGCAUAAGCAAAACGGUGGUAUAAAAUCAACAUUACGCCUUGUAUAAUGCAUUGCCUUGAUAAUACAUGCACUGUCACACGUCACAUACAACUCUACCCUUAAAUGAAGGUCCAAUUUAGAGAAGUAACACCAUAUUGAUCCAAGAUGAUGCUCGGGUGCUUAAAGCGAAGUAUUAUCCUCAAUCAGAUUUUAUGCAAGCAAAUUUAAAGCAUGGUGCUUCGUACACUUGGACAAGCAUUUGGUCAGCUCAAAAAGUGUUAGAAGACGGGGUGUGUUGGCGAGUUCGAUGGGGUGAUAAAGUUUCAAUUUGUAAUCAUGCUUGGUUACCGAGUUUGAUUAAUUAUAAAUUAAGCAACGCAGUUCGAAACCUUGAUGUUUCUAUAUUUGCCGAUCUAAUUAAGAGAACUUUUAGUGAGUGGAAAAGAGAGAUUAUUACCAAUACCUUUGCAGAUGUUGAUGUGGCCAGGAUACUUCUAAUCCCGCUGGCAGCGAAUCCUCAGCAGGACGUGAUGGUGUAGGGAGGUGAGUCCUCAGGAGAGUUCUCCGUUAGGAGUGCUUACAAAUUUUUACAGACAAGUAUUCCUAUUCCUAUCCUAGAUGAAUUACAAAAUGCAUCUAGAGAAUUUUACAAGCAACUUUGGGGCUUAAACCUACCAUCUAAAAUCAAGAUUACAAUAUGGCGUAUUUCAAAAAAUUCUUCCCUAUGCUAUCAAAUAUGCAUAACAAAAGACUAGUUGCCGAUAUGAUGUGUCCAAGAUGUGGGGAGGGUGCUGAAACUAUGAAUCAUGUUUUUAGGAGUUGUCCUGUUACAAAGGUGAUAUGGGUGUUAGUUGGUUUUCCUGGGAUCUUAUUAAAUUCAAUACAGGACAUGUUCGAGUAGUUUACUUGGGUUUUCAACAACUGCUCAGUACUUCAACGCGUAUCAUUCUAUUGUGGUCUGUGGGUCUUGUGGACUGCAAGAAACAAAUUUAUGCAUGAACAUUGUGCUAAAUUGGCGGUUGACACAUCAAGGUUCAUUCAAUGAUACAUUAAAGAAAUAGAAGGCGUCAAGGAAAAGGAGGUUACCAGGAAGGUGAUCUAUGCAAAAUGGAAGCCCCCUUCAGGAAUAUGCAUCAAACUUAAUUUUGACGCAGCCUUUGAUAAGGAUUUUUUUCAAAUCUGGGACGGGGAUUGUAGCCAAAAAUGCGCAAGGGCAGGUGAUUGCAUCACGUUUAAUACUCCACUCAAACGUGGGCUCAGCAUUUGUAGCAGAAGCCCUCGCAUGUUCAUGGGCAGUUAAAACGGGGUUAGAGUUGGGGGUUACAGAAGCAAUUAUCGAAGGCGAUUCUCUAACGAUUAUCAAGAACUGCAAUAAUAUGUCCCCAGAUAAGCCUGAAAUAAGAGCUCACAUCCAGAAUAUACAGUAUCACAGUAGCAGAUUUCUCUCCAUACAGUUUAAACAUGCAAAUCGUGAAGCUAAUCAACUGGCACACAGAUUAACAGUUGAAAGUUUGAGAAAUGGAGAGGAGUUUUACCUGGAAGGAGCGGUCCCGGGCUUCGCAAGGAGAACGAUGGAGGAAGAGUGGAUUCGUGAACCAGAUUGAAGGAAUAAUGGGGAAGUGUCUUGAUCCCUAAGGAGCAGAAAUGAGAAAAAUCAUUUCUGUGAAAAUAGGAUUCCCGAGGAAUGGGGUGACUUUUGUUUAUUUUUUAAAAUCUAUUUUAUUUUCUUUUAAUGUUUAAAUUAUUUUGCUCUGAGCCGGUGAGUGCUAAGGCUCCUAAAGGAGAAAGAAAUACACCAAACAAAUUUUAUAAUUUAAAUUCAACGCUUAGUUUUUUAAUUUAUCAAAUAACAUCUUAUUGUUAAUAAGAUUUCAUUUUAGUUUGCGGCAAAAUCUCGAUAAUAUUGAAUACAAGGAAGUUGCAAGAAAUUGUCUGCACCCAUAUAUACAUAUAUAUUUCAAUUCAAAUAGCAAUAUUAAAAUCAUUACAUUUGAAAUAAUAUUAAAAUAUUAAAUUUUAUAAUAUUGCUAAAAUAAAAAAUAUAUAUAAUUUUUUCAACGAAACAAUAAAAGUAAUUUAUAUUGAAUUAUCAAAACUUUUUGUUGAAGAAUAUUUCUAUAUUUAACUCCCUUUAUAAUAAUCGUACUUGCUUACCAAAAUUUUGUUAGAAAAAGAUACUAUUUUACGCCUAUAACAAUAUUUGGUGUUUUGGUUAUUGAUUUUCUAAUUUUCACAUUAAAAAUUAUAAUAUAUUAAUAAUAUUAAGCAAUGAGAUUUAGAUGAUAUAUUUAAUAAAAUUUAAAAUGUAAUUUCAUUUAUUAAUAUUAUUUUAAUUCUCAAAAAUAUUUUUUAUUAAUAAAAUGUCAUUAAUAUAUAUUUUUGUAAAAAAAACAAUUUAUUGAAAUAACAUUUUAAUUAAAUUUUAUUAUUUUUUAAAUAAAAUAAAUUUUACUAAAAUUUGAGAAAAUAAACUAUUAUAGAAGUAUCAUCCUCUAAGUAGCCUAGUGGAGGUAUUGUACUCAGGGUGUCUAUGCUCAAUUUUAGCCCCGAGUUUUUGUCUUCCUACUACAGAUAAAGGCCGAACAAGUUCAUUGAGUUUCAACCGAAGCACCUAGGUUCAUCAAUGAAAUGUUUUAUCACUAGUGUUCUUACCUUCUAAAACCCUUUAAGGGCUUGGGUUCAAACCUUAUCAAGGCCAAAAUGAUAAAAUAGUUCUUUGGUAGACUUUAGGAGUUCUCCAUAAACUCCUUUAGGCUCUCCUCGAAGUUGGGCUAAAACUGAGUAUAUAGACACCUAGGGAACAAUGCUAAUUGUUCGAGGUUUAGAUUGACUGCUCAAAAGAUUACACUUCAAAAACUUAUUCCAAUAAGAGAGUCGAGUCCCUCCAAUAAUAGCUAACUAUAUUUUUGAAUAAGCAAUUUUUUAAGCGAAUCUAUACUAUUAUGCUUUUUUUGUAAUUCUUAACAAUAAUGACUAAAUUAUCAAUAAAUGCCAUUUUUUUAAAAAAAAUUUAUCAUAUUAGGUCAUUUUUUUGGAAGAACUACAAGAAUAGGUCGAUUUACAGAAGGUGAAAUUCAGAAAAAGGUCUAAGUGGAAGCGUUUUCAAGUGAUUUACAGAAAAACACUUUCAGCUGGCAGCACUUUCAGCCACAUCAGCACUAAAAGUGGCAACACCAAUGUUUUUUUUUUUUAAUUUUCUGGUGCCACCUAGUAAUGUGGAAACGAAACUUACAAAAUAGGUCUUUAUAUAGAUCCCAAGUCUCAUUUCCCUUGUUUUCUUAAUGUGGGAUGUGGGAUAUGGGUAUAUAUAGACUCAUAAUCCAUUUGCAGCUUGUUUGUAGACAAUGUGAAAUUGCUUAAUCUUUCAACUAACAAUAUAAUAUUAAAGACUAUACUUAAUUUUUAAUUUAGAUUAAAGGCUAUACUUAAUUUUUAAUUUAGAUUAAAGACUAUACUUAAUUUUUAAAAAUUAAAGGUAAAAUUUUAUAUAACAUUAAACUCUAACAAAACAAAACAUUAUAAACUCUUAUACAAAUAUUAUCGUUAAAAGACAAUCCAAUAAAAAAAAAUCUAGAUGCGUUUUUUUUAAUUUCACCUAAAAACACUUUCGUAAAAUUGGCCUAUUUUCAUAAUCCUUCCAAAAAAAGGUCUAAUAUGAUAAAAUUUAAAAUAUUUUGACAUUUAUUAGUAAUUUAAUCCAAUAAUAAUUAAUUUUAAUUUUAAUUUCAAUUAUAUAAAAAUAGUUUAAUUUCAAUUGGGAGCGUAUAUAUACUACUACAUAUUUAUGUGAGAUUUAAAAUUUAUGGUGAAAAAAAUGAAGUAAAGGUUAUAUAUUUUAAUAAAAUAAUUAAUUAAAUAAAAGAACACUUAAAGUAAAUAGAGAAUUUUUUCGUCUCCUCUUUUCAUUUAUAAAAGAGCUAUAUAUAAGCCAUUGAUAUUCAAUGCAACAUAAACGAAUGAAGCUUAUUUGACAACUUCAUUAACUCAUACAUUAAGCAUCUUUAAUAAUGAAUGAGGGGUUUUAACUCAUUACUUUCAUAAAUGUUUAAAGGUUAUAGACAUCCAUUUAAUGUAUUUACAACACUCCCUAUUGGAUGUCCUUUAAAUAAAAAUGUGUCCCAUUAAAACCUUUAUUAGGAAAAACCCUGUGGGAUAAAAAUCUAAUGAAGGAAAAAGAGUACACAAUCUCCUGUUACAAGUUGCCUUGUUAAAAACCUUUACCAGGAAAACCCAAUAGGACAAAACCUUGGUUAAAGGAAAAGAGUACAAUGUGUUUUAGACUCCCUAUAAUGGCAACAUCACAUUAUGUCUUUGAGUCGACGCAUUCCAAUAUUGUUUCGUAGUCUUUUAAAUGUUGAAGUUGGCAAUGCCUUGGUAAAAAGAUCUUUUAAAUUAUCACUAGAACGAAUUUGUUGAACUUCUAUGUCACCUUUCUUCUUAAGAUCAUGAGUGAAGAAUAAUUUUGGUGAAAUAUAUUUCAUUCUUUCACAUUUGAUAUAACCACCCUUUAAUUGAGUUAUACAUGCUGCAUUAUCUUCAUAUAAGAUAGUUGACAUAUUUUCCUAUAAAGGCAAAUUGCAUAUCUUCUGGAUAUGUUGGGUUAAUAACCUUAGCCAAACACAUUCUAGACUUGCCUCAUGCAUUGAAAUUUUUUUAGCAUGAUUUCAAGAGGUAGCAUCUAAUGUCUGCUUUGUCGAACGCCAUGAUAUGGCAGUACCUCUACAUGUAAAUAAAUAUCUCGUUUGAGAUCGACCUUUAUGUGGAUCUGAUAAAUAUCCAACAUCAGCAUAACCAACUAAUAGGGAUUUUGAAUUAUUUGAAUAAAAUAACCCCAUAUUAAUGGUCCCUCUGAGAUAUCUAAAUACGUGUUUAAUUAUAUUCUAAUGUCUACAUGUUGGAGAAGAACUAAAUCUUACUAACAAGUUUACAACAAAAGCUAUAUCAGGUCUUGUGUUGUUUGCAAGGUACAUCAAUACUCUAAUGACACUUAGAUAUGGUACUUCAGGACUAAGAAACUCUUCAUCAUUCUCACAAUGACGAAAUUGAUCUUUAUUCACAUCUAACGAUCAUACAACCAUUGGGGUACUUAAUGGAUGUGCUUUAUCCAUAUAAAAUUUCUUUAAGAUUUUUUUCGUAUAAGUUGAUUGAUGGGCAUAAAUUCCAUCUUUUAAAUGCUCGAUCUGCAGGCCAAGAUAAAACUUUGUUUUUUCAAGAUCUUUCAUAUCAAAUUCUUUCUUUAAAUAAUUUAUUGCAUUUUGAAACUCUUCAAGAGUUUCAAUAAUAUUUAGAUCAUCAGCAUAAAUAGCAAUUAUCACAAAGUUUGAUCCAUACCUUUUUAUAAAAACACAUGGGCAAAUUGGAUCGUUUUUGUAAUCUUCUUUUAACAAAUAUUCACUAAGACAAUUAUACCACAUACAUCCAAAUUGUUUUAAUCCAUAUAAACUUUUCCUUAAUCUGUUUGAGCAAUUUUCCCUAAAAACUCUAUAUCCUUCAGGGAUUUUAAAUCCUUCUGGGAUUUUCAUAUAAAUUUCACUAUCAAGUGUACCAUACAAAUAAGCUGUAACAACAUCCAUUAGACGCAUGUCAAGUUUUUCACUUACCGCCAGACUAAUAAGGUAUUUAAACGUGAUUGCAUCCACUACAAUAGAAUAUGUCUCUUCAUAAUCAAUAACAGGCCUUUGCGAAAAUCCUUGUGCUACAAGUCGUACUUUAUAUGUUACAAAUUCAUUUUUCUAAUUUCGUUUUCUCACAAAUGUUCAUUUAUAUCCUACCGGUUUUACAUAUUUAGGUGUUUGGACUAUAGGUCCAAAAACCUCACGUUUAGAAAGUGAAUUUAAUUUUGCUUGAAUUGCGUCUUUCCAUUUUGGCUAAUCUUUUCUAUUUCUACAUUCCUCAAUAGAUUUAGGCUCAAGAUCCUCAUUUUCUUUUACUAUUUCAAUAGCAACAUUAUAAGCAAAAUUAUUGUCGACAAUUAUAUUUUUCGGUUCUAUUUUUUUCUUGAAGUAAUAUAACUUAUUGAGAUUUCUUUGUUAUCACCAUUUUCAGGUACCUAAACCUCUUCUGGGUUUUUUAUUAGUUAUAUUAUUGGCCUCUUCUUGGGCACUUGUCUCCACAAUAUUACCAUCUUGAAUAAUUUCUCCUUUCAUUUUACGAGGAUUUUUAUCUUUGGAACUAAUUGGCUUUCCAAGCUUCAGGCAUGGAUUACUUUCUUUUACACUAACAAUUUUCCUUAUUGGGAUAUCAAUUUGUAUUGGAGUAUUUUCAGCUGGUAUGUGAGAUUUUGUAAUUCUCUUUAGGCCAGUAAAUGAAUCUGGCAGUUGAUUGGCAAUGUUUUGCAAAUGUAUGCUCCUUUGAACUUCUUGUUCACAUUGACUUGUGCAAGGAUCUAAUUGAGAUAAUGAUGAUCCAUUCCAUAUAAUUUCUUUUACCAAAUGCAUUUUCUCUCCCCCUAAUGUUGGGGAUGUUGUUUCAUCAAAAUGACAAUCAAUAAAUUGUGUAGUAAAUAAAUCUCCAAUUAAUGGUUCAACAUAUUUAAUUAUAGAAGGAGAUUCAUAACCAACAUAUAUUCCCAACCUUCUUUGAGAACCUAUCUUUGUGCAUUGUGGUAGAGCAAUUGGAACAUAUACUGCACAUCUAAAAAUUCUAAGAUGGGAAAUAUUUGGCUUCUGACCAAAAGCCAAUUGUAAUGGGGAGUACUUAUUAUAACUUGUUGGUCUUAAGCGCAUAAGUGCUGCUGCAUGCAAAAUAGCAUAUCCCCAAGCUGUAACAGGGAAAUUUGUUCUCAUGAGCAAUGGCCGAGCUAUUAGUUGGAGGCGUUUGAUAAACGAUUCAGCUAAAUCGUUUUGUGUGUGAACAUAAGCUACAGGAUGUUCAACUUUUAUCCUAAUUGACAUACAAUAGUCAUUAAAAGCUUGGGGUAUAAACUCACCAGCAUUAUCAAGACGAAUAGUUUUGAUUGCAUAAUUUGGAAAUUGUGCUCUUAAUCUAAUUAUUUAAGUAAGUAGUCUCGUAAACGCUAGGUUACGAGUCGAUAAUAAACACACAUAUGACCACCUACUAGAUGCAUCUAUUAAUACCAUAAAAUAUCUGAAUGGUCCAUAUGGUGGAUGAAUGGGCCCUCAUAUAUCACCUUGAAUACGUUCUAGAAAUGCGGGAGAUUUAAUCCCAACUUUAGCUGGUGAUGGUCUAAUAAUCAAUUUUUCUUAAGAACAAGCAACACAAGAUAAAUCUUUGAAUUCAAGAAUCUUUUGGUUCUUUAAUGGGUGUCCAAUUGAAUUCUCAAUGAUUCUUCGCAUAAUAAUAGAUCCGGGAUGGCCUAAUCGGUCAUGCCAAAUAGUUAAAAAAUGUGGUUUUACAAACUUCUGGUUUGUAGUAAUAUGUGACUCAAUUGCACUAAUAUGUGUAUAAUAUAAACCCGAUGAAAAAAU
rnacentral:lncRNA from 1 species